rnacentral:lncRNA from 1 species
UUUUUUUUAUAAGUAAAGGUCAAUUUAAUUAGGAUGAUUAUUAAAUCAUCUCCAUCAUAAAUACAUUUUUUUUAAGUGAGCCAUUUUGCAUAUAUGGCAUUACUAAUUGACUUGCUAAAUUAACAAUCUUGUUAAUUUAACAAGCACUCAUUCAUCUCACUCUCUAUAUNNNNNNNNNNNNNNNNNNNNNNNNNNNNNNNNNNNNNNNNNNNNNNNNNNNNNNNNNNNNNNNNNNNNNNNNNNNNNNNNNNNNNNNNNNNNNNNNNNNNNNNNNNNNNNNNNNNNNNNNNNNNNNNNNNNNNNNNNNNNNNNNNNNNNNNNNNNNNNNNNNNNNNNNNNNNNNNNNNNNNNNNNNNNNNNNNNNNNNNNNNNNNNNNNNNNNNNNNNNNNNNNNNNNNNNNNNNNNNNNNNNNNNNNNNNNNNNNNNNNNNNNNNNNNNNNNNNNNNNNNNNNNNNNNNNNNNNNNNNNNNNNNNNNNNNNNNNNNNNNNNNNNNNNNNNNNNNNNNNNNNNNNNNNNNNNNNNNNNNNNNNNNNNNNNNNNNNNNNNNNNNNNNNNNNNNNNNNNNNNNNNNNNNNNNNNNNNNNNNNNNNNNNNNNNNNNNNNNNNNNNNNNNNNNNNNNNNNNNNNNNNNNNNNNNNNNNNNNNNNNNNNNNNNNNNNNNNNNNNNNNNNNNNNNNNNNNNNNNNNNNNNNNNNNNNNNNNNNNNNNNNNNNNNGUAGAGUUGUACGUUGUUAAUCUGAAGGUUUUAAAAUUGCAUCUAGUAACAUCAUACAAAUGAUAUAUGUGUAAUAUUUAAUCGCUUUUCUUUUAUCGAGUUAAUCUAUAAGCACUGAGUCGUCUUGAGUUUUCCGCACGAGUUUGUCCCGAUUAACAAGCAUAUGGCUCAUUGCAUGCUUGUUGGCUCUCUAGUUGAGAUCUCCUUGGUGCUUUUGGUGAGGUGUUUGACAGGUUGAUAUUGAAGAGACGCGCAGCGGAGCACUCAAUAUGUGGCAUGUGCAUGGGUAGUUAUCUAAGAAGUAUUGAAUUUCCGGACGGCUUGUCCUCCCAUGCAUCCGUAAGUAAUAGAACUUCUCAUCAAGUGGCGAUACAGGCUCUCUCAUAUCUCAUAGUUUAAGUCGAUUCUUAUCUUUAUUUGCGCUUGCUAGCUCGAUUCUCCCCAUUGGGAGCUGCCAAAAAAUGUAAUAAUUAAUUUUGUAAACUUUUUUGAACAUUAUUCAUUUAUGAAAAAAGUUAUGAUCGUUUUUUAAAAUAUGAAUUCAUAACCUUAUCCAACCGGCUUAUCCUUCUACCAAACAAGGUUCAAUCAAACCCCUAAGAACUUAUUUUUUUUGUAAUUAAAGAUAUAGGUAUACAUAUUCAUUUGAAGGCAGACUUGUCAGUAGGAGUCAUGGCAAAAGCAUGCAAUGCCAAAUUUCCAUGUGUGGAAGUGAUGAAAAAAAGAUUGCAAGCAAGCAAGAAGUUAUAUAAACUUUUAUUGUGGAGCAUGGACUUGAUGGAACAUUUUGAAUUCUAUUGAAAAAGUUGUAUCAUACACAUAUGACAUUUCUAGGUGGAUCUAGAUUUGUAUUGAUGAAGAGAUAUAAUCUUACCAACAAACAAGUCUAUUACUCAUUUUCUAUGUCAUAUGCAUUGUUUAAUUGCUAGCAAUUGGCAUAUCGCUCAAUUUGAUAUAUCACUUCAUUAGGCUGCCUAUGAUUUGAAACCAAUAUUUGCAAGACAACAACAAAACAUCAUUUGAAAUUCAGGUUAAUAUAACCUAGAUGAGGUUUCUGAAUCGAAUAUCAAACACACAUAAUAUGCAAUCGCCAUAUAUACCUGAUAGGCUCAUUAGGGCGGGGACGUAUAUAAGGGGACGCAAUUGGAUUGAUCGCUUUAAUAUACCUGCUUGAUCUUAUUAGUGGGCUCCAGUUAGAGUCAUAUCACGUAGGAGCUCUUGGACGACCAACUCCAUCAACCCACUAGGGAGUUAGCCCACUGCGGCUAACUAGGUCUUCGCUUCCCAUAAUACGUGGUGAGAUACAAGGACCACCUCAAGUUGAUGCCUCUAGGAUCACCCUCAUCACAUCUACCGCUGAGAUGAGGCCUCCUGGUCAAGGCCCCACAGACUGUCACAAAUUGAUGAGAGAGAACGUUCCCUCAAUGUGUAUUCUUUGUGUAUUUUCCAUUUGUCUUUCCUAAUCUUGUAUCGUUCGUAAUUUUAUUACUUGAAAAAUGCGAUAUGAUGACACACAAUAUAAUACGCUUAUGUCACAUUUAAACAAUACAGAAUGAAUGGAUCGAUAGUCUAUGUAACAAUGUAGGCAAAAUACCUACCGAUCAUAAGAGAAAAUGACUUCUUAACAUCCAACAACGACCAACAUGGUCGUGGCUAGCAACUCUACCACACUUAGUUUACUGUGUUGCAUUUAUUUUUGCAGACAUCAGGAAUUUGAACCACAUCAUCAAAUAUUGCUUUCCUACCAUACAUAUACAUUACUCUCCCUGAUUGUGAUAUCUGGGAAAGUGGAUGUACAUUAGUAAGCAGUGAACUAAAACAUCGCUGACUCGCUGUGCUAAAAGAAAAAGACAACUGAUAGGUACUAAAACAAUGCCCUCAUGCAGAAUCAAACUACAGAACUUCAAUUUACAAGACUGAAGCUCUACCACUAAACUAUAAGGGUUUGUUGUUACUGCUGUCAUGUGUUAAAAGAUAUGAACAAGCAUGCCUGGAUGCAAGAUCGAAGGAUCAUACAACAAUUAAUUUAUGUGUUGUAUAAAAUUUCCCGAUUUAAAUUAAAUACACUAGAUGCCACUAAGCCAUUUAAAACUCACAAUACUAAUUUUCUUCUUUUCGUUCACAGUAUGCCACUAAGAAGGCUUCUAAUUAGUUCAUUCUAAAUAAAAAAAAUUAACUCAAGAAUAAAUUUGAUACAACUUACAAGUAUACCAAACAACGAUUAGAUAGUAUUAUAUAAGAUCAAAUCAAGUGGACUAAUUAAGUAUUUAGAUUACUCAUACCAAUCCUAAUUCUAGUUGACUUUCACAAGUUCAGGAAAAAAAACUCAUGGUUAUAGUAUUUUUUUGGGUUAUACGGUACAUGUACUAUUGAUCGGCAGCCCAUUCCCUGAGGAAGAGAAAUGGCCAAAUGGGGUUGUGCUGCAAGAAGAAGAAAGAAAAUUGAUACCUUUCACUACAAAUUAUUGAAACCCAUUUUUUCAAAAAUUUAUAAGAAAAAUUAUUACGACGUGUGCUUCAGAUAAACUUCAAGGUUGUCUGUGGUCAACCUAAUUUUGUGAAAUUGAUAAUAUCAUCAUAAGAAUGUUAAAAUAAUUACGUAUUUCAGACUUCAAAUUCAGAAUUUAUAGAACUAAAAUUAGGUGUUAUAAAUUAUAAUCACUCAAUUAUAACCCGUUUAAUCAAUUUUUUAAUUUUUUGAUUCAAUGGCUUUCACGAGGCAUGUGCAAACAAUUUGUCACUUAGCUUAAAAGAUGAACCAAACUCACCCCUUAUAAAAAUGAUUCCUGCAGUAGUGGGUGGCUGUGGUGCAUCAAUUUCCAGCACUAUUUCCCUUGCUUUAAUUUUUAAUUGUUUUAAUUAAUUACGUUCUCAAAUCCAUGGAAAAAGUCAUUAAUAUAUGAAGACUAUAGGCAUAUAAAUGCUUCCUCUUUAAUGCUGGUUUUGGCCAGUGGAAGUUGACGAAACGAUAGAGAUGACCAAUUUCAUUGUCUAGGACAGGAAAAAGUUUAUAUUGCUGUUGGUUUAUUAACUAGUCUACAAUGGUGGAAAAAAAAUCCUACAAAAUGCUAAUUUUUUAUGUUGGAACAUUCUAAAUAAGUCGUAUAAUAAAUUUAAAAAUAAAGUAGGAUUAUUAAUAUUAAUAAAAAUAAGUCAUCAUUCCCCAUCAAAAACUGAACCGCGACUUGUGAAUCCAUCUGCACCAGUACCCCUGAUACCCUUUCUCUCAAAUCAGCUGCAACCUGUCACUACAUAUCUCAAUCCAGCCCUGGAGAUUUGCUAAAGCAUACCAAGAAGCGACCAUCAACAUCACAAAACCAACCUCCAGAGGGUGCUCGUCCAAUAUCGGGAAUAACAAACAUGUCAAAAUUGAGAGCAACUCACUCAAAUAGUAUUGACCGCCAAUAGACAUUCACCACUAUCUUAACAGAUAAAUUGAUAUAAAUUAACUAAUCGUGUAUCAAAGCCUCCCAAUAAUUUUUAGUGCUUUGAGAGAUAAGUAAUCAGGAUUUCAAUUGCAAUGUAUUCAUAUAUAGUAGCUAGUAUGGUACAUUGGUACUUGCAGACUUGCAGUCGCAAUCAAUGUUUGAUGUCUUCAUUGAGUUGCCCCAAAAGAGUAGAUGUCUCGGUUGAGUUAAAAACAAGCUAUUAAUUAGAAAGUAUUUUUGGGGUGAAUAAAACAAGUGAUCGUGAGUAGUAAGCCAUUGGGGUUUUAAUACUUACAAACUUAAUUAUUUAUAACAAAAAUUACUUUCAAACUUAAUUAAUUAUUUAAAAGAAAUACUUUCAAACUUAAUUUAUUCAAGUACUGGAAGUGGUCACAGUUAUGGGCAGUAGUUUAUUUAUUAAGAUGACUGUAAACAGAGAUUCAAUGUCCUAUGCUAUGGACUGGACUUAUCUUUUUAUAAUCUGUAUAUCUACAACAGUGGCUGCCACAGAUGAUGUGAAUAUGACACCAAACCCACAAUAAUUCUCCAAUUAUAAUGGUCAUCUAAUGCUGUUAAUAAUGGUCCCAGUUAGUAAAUAUACUGUUUAAUACUUUGUGUAUAUAUAGUCAAACAGAUUAUAAUCGUAUAGUCGAAUCAUUACAGUACUUAAUUUAAUUUUCAAGAAUUUAGAAUUUGAAAUAUGGAAGGUGUCAAUCAUUUUAACUCCUGUAAUGACAUAUUACAAGAAAAUUUUUAAUCAAAAUUCCAGAUAUUAAGAAAACAUCAUACAUAAUUAAAUAUCGAACGGCGAAUUCAAGCUCACAAAUCUCAAGACGAAAAAGUAUGAAUAUGAAAUUAGAGAUGAUAAUAGUUAACUAAUCUUUAUUAAAGUGAAAACUAGAUAUGUCUUUUGACAGUUUGUUUGUUAUGUCUUAUUAUUCAGUCUUCUUUCUGGCUACGACUAAUCAAACUCGCUCAAAGACAACCACUCGUCAACUUCGUUCACAAUAUCUGACAUAUACGUGGACCAAACUGUUGUAAUUAAUUAGCAGCUUNNNNNNNNNNNNNNNNNNNNNNNNNNNNNNNNNNNNNNGUAAUUAUCAUGCAUCAUAUUCAUAACAACAAAUGCAUACCAAUUGCUUCAUUCAUUGGUUUUGAUCUCACGUCUUCAUUUGUGAAGUCUUCUCUGUUGUUUGUGGUUUUAUCGUUGUGGACGUUUACCAUAUGCUUGUUUCAUCGCCACCUUUAGUUUGUUACCGUGUUGUUCAAAGUUGAACUAUUCGAACCGUUUAAUAUGCCAUAAAAUGGUUCUUAAAUGUUUGCGUCAUAUAAAACAAUCGAUUUUGGUAGAUACUUAGAGUUUAGUUAUGUGGACAAAUGCUUAAUUGAUUUUGUAAAUUUGGAGCGUGCUACAUAUAUCAAUCCCAAAAUUUUCAAAUGUAAUAUAUUGGUCUUGAAAAAUACAGGUAGGAGUGAUGUAAAGUGGUCUCCAAUUAUAAGCUCGGGAGGAAUGGUGUAACAUUCGGAAGUUUCGACACAAUUACGUAGCAUAUCCAAAACAAAACUACAAGACCUGCUCAGUAUUUGAGUAUUUGACCAUUAUCGAAAUAUACAACGUCACCUAUAUUUAUGGUAGUUUUUAUCCACGAUCAUCAUUCCUCCACUACGACCAAUAUGUGACAGAAAUAACGGCUUUUAAAUGUCUAUCACAUAUCAACUUGCUUGAAUAUUUAGGUUAUAACUUAGUGCUGACAUGUUGCCCAUUUGUUGACUUUCUGAUUUGAUGUAACUUAUUAGAAGGCUGGUUAGUCACUCAUUAUUCGUUUUAACAAAGUUGUCUCUAUAAACAACUUAUAUUUCAACGUUAUGCUCUCGAUACGUUAUGCUCUCCAUAACAAAACUACCGUAUUCCAAACAAAAAAAAAGCCUCAUACCUUACAAUCAAAGUGUCUUCUAUAGAAGUUAUCUAUCACGAAAAUGAAAUCAUACAUGGAAACCCUACUCACCAUAAAAAAAGCAUAUGAUUAGGCAGGGAAAAGUCUAAGGGAAGGCAUAUUCGAUAUGAACAAAACACAAACUAAUUUAAGGUUUAUAUAUGAAAACUGGCUUGUCGUUGAUCACAACCUCAUUACAGAAGUUUGAUGCUCUAUCAUCUCUACAACUUGUCAUACCAUCCCUACCACCUUUUUGGAUAGACGUCGCUGGGUUUUUUUAAGAAAAUAAAAACUAGGGUUUAUGUUAAUUUGGACGAUUUUUUAAAACAAAUUAUUAAAUAAUGGGGAGCGAUCUUACAUGGGUUUCUGAGUUAAAUGCAAGCAGUAGUGUCCAGUUUGACCACAGCAGACUGACAUUUCUGCAGAGGCUGCUUCCCAUGCCAAAAAUACUAUAUUGCCAGCUAUACAAUUUUAAUUUUUCUGUACCUGAUUUCCAUGGUUUUUUAUUUAUUUUAGAGAUAUGAUUGAAAUUUCGACGGACAAUUUUUAUAAUGGGUUGUCUUUCGAAUGUUUGUAUUUCGUUCAAAGGAUUUGGUUUUCGUGCGAGAAUUUUUUGUUCAUAUAUAAGAAUAGCAGCCUGUUUUAUUUCGUGUUAUCUUAGUGAAAAUAUGAAUUAGAUCAUAAAAUUGUUAUUUCCGUGAUUUGAAUAAUUGUAUUCCAAACUGGAUUCAUACACUCUUGAUUGAAUAUUUGUAUAGAUUGUAUAUUCCCCCCUUGCAUUACAAAUUUGUAUUUGAUUGAAUGGAUGUUAGUCUUCAAAGGUUUCGAAAUAAAAAAGCACGAGUAAUGUAAGAUGUGUAACAAUGAUUGAUGGUGGAAAAAAAUGUGUCAUUGCUGAGUUUUUUAUGGACAGUUUACUACCGCUAAUAUCAAUAAUAUACUCGCCAGCCAACUAAUUUUUUUCAUAGUAUGAUAUUAUUUAUUUUGAAUCGAGCAUGGGUACAGAUUUGUUUUUGGGUUCCUUCUUAAAAAAAUUUAUAACAAUUUGGCCGGUGGACAUUUUUAAGGCAGAUAAAUCUUUAUCUAUUUAUAAUUGUGAUACUUUGGACCGUAAUUCCAGUAAUACUAUCCAUUUUACCUAUUAUAAAUACAUUUUAUUUAAUUGUAUGAGAUAUCAAAAUCGUUUGUAAAUCUCUUUGAGUUGUAAUUCGCUAAUGAUCAGACAAGCUUUCCUCGAAGAUCUCUCAGACAAACAGUCGAAUACUAAUUGAUUCGAACUUAACCAAACCAUCCUUGGACAUCUUUUAUCCUUAAACUUAUCUUUUAUCAUUGGGCCACACACCAAGUACUCUACUUGAACAAAACACACAGUCACAUCUCUACCCAAAGUGGGCAAAAGAUUAAGGGUAAAGUUGGAGAGACAAUUGCUGGGGUUCAUUUGCUGGCAGUUUUUUGUAUAGUAAAUGCUAAUAAGUUUCAUUUGCCACACAGAUUCAAAAACCUUUGAAAGAUAUUUAGAUUGUCAAAAUAACUGUGAAGUUAUCUCGACAAUACAAGUGUCGUAUGUGUCCAAGGAUUCUUUUUGUUAUGUUUUUACUCAAACUCGUUAAUACGGUCUAGACUGAACGAAUUGAUUUGGUUUCUAAUUAUUCUAUUAACUCAUCAAGAUCAACGUCCUAAUAGUAGUCAGAUCGAGCAACGUUGGACUUAGAUUGAACAAUACGAUUCCUCUUAUCACUCGUAUGAAUCCACGACACGAUCAUACACACGGAUUACCACUACUAGUUUCCCAAUUAAGGUUGGAAUAUCCUCAACUAGGCUAACCAGUAAUGAACACCGAGAAGUUCUACAAAAUGAUAAUGUGCUCUUUAAGAAUUAAAGGAAAUCACAAGUAAUUGGAAUUAGUGUUAACUUGGUCCGUCAACACCUAAACUACUGAUAACUACACCCAACUUGGUCCAUUAGGUGCAAACCAGAGCGCCCACCAAUUAUUUGAUGAAUAACCGUUAAAACCAAAAGAAGCACAAAAGGUAGAAUCAAGCUAUCGGCUUACUCCACCGAUAACCUUCUUCUAUCUUAGAUUGUUAAUCAUAUGAAUUUUAGAGUCGAUCAAAUAAAAGAUUUCAUAGAUUUGACCUAAUUCAAGUCGUAACAAAAACAAGGUUGAAAACUCAACAAUCAAAGCAAUCUUUUAUUGAAAUCCAAUUAUCCAACAAUCGUCGACCCUAUACUUUUAGGGAGAGUAUCAUAGCUCAAUUCUUACAUCCCAACCAAGAAACUCUAAAGAAUUAGCUACUCAUGACUCUAGAAGAAGAGAGAAUAGAAUAAGACCUAACCACCAUCUUGAUGAAGAGACAAUGAAUCAGACUUGCUCUAAUCUUCACUUUUGAUCUUGUAGUUUCAAUCCUAACUUCAAUCUUCAAUGAGGACUCCUUCGGAUCUUCAAUCGGACUUCUAGGGAUGGACAUAUGAUGUUUUUGCAGAGGAAAGUCGGGGAAAAAUCAAAGGAUUAUUGCUGGGGAAGAUCUUGAUUCUCUUUCCUCGAAAAAUUGAGAGAUUAUUGUUGGGGAAGAUCUUGAUUCUUCAAUCGGACAUCUAGGGAUGAAAAUUGUGGAAUUCGGGAGGUGCACUUCUUUUUGCUACGAGGCCAUUUUGCAUUUUAGGCCUGCACGGCGUGCAGCUCUUCUGCUUCACCAUUUCUUAUUUCGUUCUUCCGUCGAGUUCCAAUCGUGCUCUAUUCCGCAUCCAAAGGCUCAUAACCAGACCACAUAUCUCCAGACCUAUGGAUAACAAAUACUACAAAGAAACACAUCAAAUAGACCGAAACAAUCCAAGUAAACGGGUCUAGACACAUAAUACCAAAACACGAAAACACAUGGGAAUGAAACACGAACAAACUAAUAUUCACUCAAAAAACAUAUAAAUAGGAAUAGAUAAUCACUAUAAAUCCUAAUACUAUCAAUACCCAUCACUCUUGAGGAAUCCAACCCAUAUAAGGAGGGGUAGGUAGGCCAAACUUGUCACGAGUACUGAAGCAUUCAUAUCAUGGAGAAAAAUACCCUAAUGGACUUUUCUCUAUGGCAUCAUUCCAAAGGGAUCAUGACUUGAUUGAUGAUGAUCGAUCGAUACAUGUAUGGAGCUGUUACUUGGCUAUGGUUUGCCCGGUCGAGUAGGCUGGGGUACGAGAUAUCAAAGGACACAUUUGGUUAAGGGACCAUUCAUAACAUAGAAUGUACUCUAGCUAGGUCUCUGUGCGAUUGUUCGGUGGUAUGUAGAAGUUUUAAGAGCUGUUCCUUGUUUCCUGUUCAAUUAUUACCUUAUUAGAUUCUAAGUGUAGAAUACACGCAGUGAUAAAAUCCAUGCAUUUACUCGAAUUUUUAGGAGAUGUUAGAUGAUUUUCUCGCGGGAAAGCUCGUAAUGACAGUUUGACGUCUGUGAAAGUUUAUUUACUUGUGCAAGUAAAAUUAUUAUAUAGGUUUAAAUUUGAUUUUAUAACAUUCUUGAACUAGUGCUAUUGAAAAUAUAUUAGGUUGCAAUUUGAUGGUUCUAUGGCAAGGACUUCCAUUUUCUUUGGUUUUGGGCUAGGCCCGUUAAAUGGUAUAUAACGAUAUAAUAAUUAAUUCGUAAAUUGGGCUUCAUGGCCCGGAGUAUCGAAUAAUCAAGGCCUGCGAGCCCAACGUUCAUCAGUGAGACACAAAAAAAUUGAAUGGCUUCGCCCGGGUUCGAACCGGAGACCUUCAGUGUGUUAGACUGACGUGAUAACCAACUACACCACGAAACCAAUUGUUGUUCGACUAAGAAAAGGUGUUAAUAUAUCAAAGUAAAACGCAGACGCUCUACAGAUUGAAUUGAAACGGAGCAGAAACUCAAAUGAGUUCAUCCUAGCAACAGAAAAUUGAGAACAGCUAUGGCGGCAACUCCAUCUCCACUCUCCGCCGCGCCCAGCAUCUCUCCGACGAAUGCUCUUUCCUGUUCUCUUCUCUUCCACUCUCAAACUCUGUGGCACCUCACUCAAUUCCAAACGCACUCGUCCUUAUCCCUCUCGCAGCGAUGCCGAAGAACAAAUCUCAGAAGCAGCCAUAUCCUUCUGGAGAAGCUACGGAGUACCUUUCCUUGCUACGCGUUCAAGAAGGGAAAGAGCGGAGGUCCCAAUGUCAUACGGAGCCGCGAUUUCGAGGACGAAGAUGUAGAUUUUGAUUUUCCGGAUGACGAGGAUGGCGACGACUACGACUACGACGAUGACGAGGAAGACGACGAUGAGACGCUGUUGCCGUACGAGAAGAUGCAGAAGCGGCUAGCGAAGAAGCCCCAAGGAUUCGGCGUAGGGAAAGUCUACGACACUUCUAUUGAAGACAAGCUGCUCGAAGAAAUUCAGCAGAGUCAAGUUGCUCAAGCUGCCAAUGUUAAUAACCUCAAGCACAAUCCCAUCAAGCCGAGUACCAAGGAAGACGAUUCAAAGAAGAAAGGUCUGUCAUUUUAGUUAAAUUUUGUGAUGAAUUCAUCCAAUUGAUUAGUAUGUAGUUUGCACUAAUACAUUAUCUGAUGAUGCCAAUGUUGCCAGCUUUUGAAGCUGUACCUAGUGGAAUUAGGGUACAUGUAAGCAACCUCCCAAAGAAAAGGAACGUCCAAAGGGAUUUGAAAUCAGCUUUCAAGGAGUUCCGUGGGAUCGUUGAUAUAAUUCGUGCUGUUUCUGGCAAUAAGAAAACAAAAGAUCCGAUUUGCAAAGGGUUUGCCUUUGUUGAUUUCAAGUCCGAGAUUGAUGCAGCAAGGUACUGUAUUUCAUUUCAAGGAUUGGACCUUCUUGGUUUAUUGGGGUUUGAUGUUAUUAACUUAUGAAUGUGUGUACUGCUACCCCUGCCAGGUUUGUGAAACAGUUUUCUGGACAAAGCAUAGCGUUUGGCAAGGUUGAGAAGCAGAUAAAAUGUAGAAUGGCAAGUGCAAGCUCAAGCCGAGCAUCUCGAGAUGAAUUGGCAGGGAUCGAUAUGGAUGAUUCCUCUGCUGCUGAGGACGAGAUCAUAGAAAUGCAACUGGUAGACGAAACUGAAAGCAAGAAAUCUGUCAGCGUAGCAGGGCUAAAUACAGUUGAUAACAAGAAAGGUGUAAAUGGAGCAUCAUCAUCGUCGAAGAAGAAGAAACCGAAAAUGUCGACUAAGAAGAGUAAUGUUGGUACUAAAAACAAACCCAAGUUGGCAAUCCCAGGAUCUGCUAAAAGGUGAUUGUCUCGAGUUUUUUCUGCACACAUUUCCUGGUGCUGGACAUUGCUUGUGCUUCCUUACCCAUUUGAAUCCCCAUUUUGUGAAUUGUUCUGUGCAGGUUAAAGGUCAGGGAAAAAGCUGUGCUGACGGAUGUCUUCAGUAAAUACAGUUUAAAAGCUGCGGUUGCUUCUUCAAAGGAAGGAAGUUAGUUUCUUUACUGUGAAUUCUCCUCCCAGAAGGACUAUAGAGAAAACAAAUGUCGUGCAAGAACUCUCAUUCAAGUUUAGUCACUUGUAAUGCUCUGUUGCUAAAUAGAUAUUCUUUGGUCACUAGGCUUACGCCAGUUCGAUCUCUCUCUCCAUAACAGAAGAAGAGUUUGUAGAAAUCUGGAUGCACAUUUUCAGAAUCAUCCGCUUGUUGUAACCAAAGUUAUCAGAAAGAAAAUGAUGAAACUUUUUCAACUUUAAGUUUGAACUUGUGUUCCUAUAAUGCGCAGACCCAGCUGACAAAUCCAUUCACAGUAAACGGCUCCGUUUCGACUACGCCAGCAGCGAAGGGUUUUAUAAAGAUUUAAGCUUUGAACUUCCCAAAACCUAAUCUUCUUUGCUCUGCUACUUCUUCCACAGGGAAGCAAAAUGCUCUUCCUUCAUCGCUCUGCUCCAGUGCUUCAUCUUUACAAGCUAUCAUCAUCAGCAUCGUCGCCGAAGAUUAUCUUCUCUCAACUGUCACGAACUUACUCAUUCUUAUCCAUUCCCUUUCCACUAUCCAAUUGCAGAGAAGCUCGACGAUUCUCUACAGCCGCCGCCGCCUCCGAUCACACCCGUGGCGGUGAUACGUUCUUCGCCGACGAAAGUGUUUCCUGGAAUGCUCUAGGCCUUUCCGACACAAUCUCUAGAGCUCUCUCCGAUGCCGGAUUCCAAAGACCGUCUCUCGUCCAGGCCGAGUCCAUACCGUCGAUUCUCUCAGGGAAGGAUUCGGUGAUUGCUGCGGAGACCGGCAGCGGGAAAACUCAUUCCUAUCUAGUCCCUCUGAUUCAUAAGCUAUCUACUUCGAGUAAUAAUGAUUCCGGUUCUCCCUCCCGUGGGGUUUCUCUUGUUCUUUGCCCCAACGUUUUGCUCUGUGAACAAGUGGUCCGAAUGGCGAAUGGCCUCUGUGAUGAAAAUGGCGAUCCACUUCUCAAAGUUGCUGCUGUCUGUGGGAGGCAGGUACUAUUACAAGGACAAUUUUUUACUUGAUUUGAAUUAGACUUUGAAUUCAUUUGUGCUUAAGCUGAUUAUGCAUCUUUUGAUUGGAUUAAAGGGAUGGCCAGUUAGUCAACCGGACAUCCUUGUGUCCACUCCAGCUGCACUUCUGAAUAGCAUUGAACCUAAGAAGCAAAGGAAGUUGAGCUUCAUUCGUGGAGUCAAAUAUGUGGUAUUCUUUUUUGGUUCUUUUUUUCCUGUUUGGCUGCAAUAUUGAAUUUGAUUAUGUUGUGAUGGUGUGUUGUUUAAUAUGGCUGGUAGGUGUUUGAUGAAGCAGAUAUGCUUCUCUGUGGAAGCUUCCAGAAUCAAGUGAUCCGUUUAAUUAACAUGUUCCGUUUCGAUGAGAAAAAUUUGUGUUGGACUAGCCAAACCCCAGCUGCUGCUUCUGCUGAAGUAGUAGAAGAUUCCGAGUCUCUUCCGGAGGAAGCAUUGGAGGAUGAAGUAGAAGAAGCGCAAGGUGAUUUGGCGAUGGCUGACGAGGAGGAAAACUUGGAGAGUGUUGCUGAGGUGGAUGAGGUGGUUGAAGAGGCAGCAAAUGAAGCUGGUUCGAUCCAGAAAAGGGGAUGGAGGAGAGUUAAAAGGGUUUACGAUCGUAGUAAGCAGUAUAUCUUUGUGGCAGCUACUCUUCCGGUUAACGGAAAGAAGACAGCUGGUGCAGUGUUGAAAUGGAUGUUUCCCGAGGCCAACUGGAUUAGUGGAAGCUACCUCCACUGCCACAAUCCCAGGUUUGCUCACACUGAUUCAGUCUUUGCUCAUGGCUUGUAGUUUUAUUACUGAUGAUUUGCUCCGUUUAAUAGAUUGGAGAGGAGGUGGAUUGAGGUUACAGUGGAUAGCCAGGUGGAUGCACUCAUAGAGGCCUUGAAGCAAGGACAUGAAUCUGAAAUGGCUAGUAGUAAUGUUAGUCGAACUAUGGUGUUUGCAAAUACCGUUGAGGCUGUCGAAGCAGUAGCUGAUAUACUGAAAAGAGCUGGGAUUGAGUGUUACCGGUACCAUAAGGAGGGAUCUUUGGAAGAACGUGCAAGUACAUUGGAUGAUUUCAGAGAGAAAGGUGGAAUCUUUGUCUGCACUGAUGCUGCUGCUCGUGGAGUUGAUAUUCCGAAUAUCACACAUGUUGUUCAGGUACUUGAUUUAGAUGCUUGAUUCAUGUGUUUUGUUACAUAUUUCAUGUUACACAGUAAUAACUCAAGAAAGAACACAUUUUUUUGGAUAUUUUACAGGCAGACUUUGCAACAUCUGCUGUAGAUUUCUUGCAUAGGGUUGGCCGCACAGGUCGAGCUGGUCAGUACGGUCUGGUUACUAGCCUGUACACCGAUUUCAAUCGAGAUCUCGUCUCUGCAAUUCGUGAAGCUGAGAGAUUGGGGAACCCAGUGGUAAUUUCUCUAAAUUGCUCCUGUUCCCAGAUAUUCCACACAUGAACAUUAUUUUUGUUUCCCAGAAGUCAAGCUGAUAACAGUUGAAUCUUUCUGCGAUUUCUCUGAAAAUCAUGCAUGAUUAACUGCAUUCUACCUACUGGUUCUCUUCUGAUCCAUGGCUCAAUUGUCGUUAAUGUGGUUGCAGGAGACUGCGUUUAGCAGGAAAAGAAGCUUCAGAAACAAACUGAAGAAGAGAGGUAAACCUUUCAAUAUGUGUUACCGAGAAGUUUGAAUCGAAAUAAUAGAAACAGUGACCAGAAAACCGACGAUUCUCCUGAUUCACAGUUGUCUCUCUGAUUUCAGGAAAUGCAAGCAGACACAGAAACACUCCAACUGCUGAACUAGCUACGGCCUAAAUGGAAAAUCUUUGCAUCUGAUCUUGUGAUCUUUUUAUUUAGUUUCCACCAUAUGUAAAGGUUAGUGUAUGCUUGUAUUAUUCGAACGGUCACGACACGAAGAAACUUAAGAAGCAUAAUUUCGAUAGGCUUCAAAUAAAUAGAACAGAUAGAUCUGAUAGAGAUGGCUGAAAUCUGAGAAUCUAGGAACUUCCCUUCAUCAGAUGCUUCACAAAGCUAUCGAUUUCCUUGUCCGAAUCCCCUCCUUCGCUCACUGCCUCCACAGCCAUUCACCUCCAUUUCCUCGCAGCUUCCUUAAUCUCCUUGCUCCGAUCACCUUCCGACAUCACUUCCUUCAAGCACUUCGCUAUCUCCUCUCUUCGAGCAACCCCACUCUCAUCUUCCUUCACUCUAACACCAACCCUCGACACAUCCUCGAUGUACUUGGCGUUGGUGACCUGAUCGGUCCACUGCGGCAUAGCCACCAUGGGCACGCCGAGGCUCAGCCCUUCGAGCGUCGAGUUCCAGCCGCAGUGUGUCACAAAGCAUCCAGUGGCCCUGUGUCCCACCAUUUCGAGCUGGUUACACCACGGCACUAUUAGACCCUUCGAACUCGAAGAACUUAACGACUCCCUAAACCAUUUGGGGAGCUUGCUUAGCUCUGAUUCUCGCACCACCCACAAGAACUCCACAUCGGAUUCCUCCAACCCUCCUGCGAAUUCUGCAGUCUGUUCUUCCGUCAGGGAAACCAUGCUCCCAAAUGAGAUGAAUGCUACUGAUUUCACACCAGCCACUUCGUGCACUCGUCGUUGAGUGGCUUCCAUAGACUGGCUCCGUACCCUUUGUCGUCUUCGAUCCGACCAUCGAGAUAGGAAGAUGGAACCAUCGGACCGAUCAGCUUUGCCGGCCAGUGUUCUUUCACACUUCGUGCUUCCUGUUUUGCAAUCAUAAACCAGAAAAUAAUAAUUCAGUCCUCUUUCAAAGGCUGCUGAUACCUUGACAUUUUGAAGCUUGCCUUCAAACACUAAUUUGACUAAUUAACCAAUUAAUUAUUUUUGUAUAAAUUAAGGUAUUUAGAUAUCCUAGUAAAUCAACUAUAUGACAAGUUUUUUCUAUAAAAAAUCACAUCAUCACCACAACCACCAGUGGCCAUCAGUUGGGCCCUAUCAAGAUUACAAACAUCCUAAUAAAUUAGUUAUAUCACCUUGUAUAACUAGUUAUAAAUCUUAUGACCAGAUCUUGAAAGGUGUAUAACCAUUUAUAGGCGACUAAAAUUGUUCGAAAAUGAUCAAAUAUGCAUCAUUGGACUCGAAUCGAACCCGUUUUUAAAGCUUUUUUAUCGUAACAGAUCGAACAUGAACACAAACCAUAGUUAAAAAGAACUUCACACCAACCUUGGAUUCCAAAUCCUGAAAUGAGUUACAAAAAAUCCAAUCAACCUCCUCCAAGUUAGAAUACUGACAAAGCUUCAUCCCCAAGUAAGUCGGAUAGCUCUCUGGAAACCUCAAGAAACUCGGCAAACUAGGGAAAACUAAAGUAAUUAUCUCAUAAGAAAAACUAUCAGACUUCGAGAUUCGAGAUCACGAGAUUGAAGAAACUCUUGAGACGAUCUUCAUGAAGAUUGUAGCACUUUUCUUUAGCUUGUUAUAUUUGUAGGGGCAGAAGUUAUCUUCAUAUUUAUAUUUGCAUGAGGCGUCAAAAUAUUGAAAGAAUAGGUGGAGGAAAGUUUUACCUCAAUUAUAAAUUAUUACACAUUUUUCAAACAGUGUGAAUAAAUCAAACUCAACUUACCUAUCAAAUUGCCCAAUAUCUUGAUAGUUUGCAUGGUUAAUAUAUUUUGACUAAAUAAUUUUCUAAAACCUGUCUACAACUUGGCUCAUUUGAAUGUUUAAAUUAAGCAAUUUGUAAUUGUAAGUUCAAGCUUACGAUUAACUUUUCAAGUCAUAUUCAACACUAGAUAGUUGAUAGUACAUAUAACAAAAUUCAUAAUAUUAUUACAAAACAUAAUCAGAUCUUAAACUACUUUUAACAAACCAACCCAAAAUCAUUUACUCUCACAGCACAAACUAGAGGGUCUUGAAACCCAAAACCUCCAAAACAGAACUACACAUUUAUUCAUUCACAAGAAAAACCAAAAUCUGAAAGUAACCAACUUUGUUUCAAGGGCACUUGAGCCGGUUUCCAUGGGUAGUCAUAUCAGUGUAGCAUCUCCCACAGAGCUCCCUAUUCCCAGAAGUCCCCGGUGGCACGCAGCUGCACCUGUAGCAGCACGUUGUGCAUGCCCUCAUGCACACAUUCAGCCUCGAAUGCGCGCUGCACCUCGCAUUGCACUUCCCUCCGCAAUCUGACCAAACCCAGAAAAACAAAACUCAGUUCAAACUCAUCAGUUUAAUCUCAUCCCAAGUUUUCAGCUAGCUAGUAGGCAGAAAAACGUUACCUAAGGAAGGCAAGAAGCGUCUAGUGUUGAAUAUGGGUUGAUGAUGAUGAUCAUGAUGAUGAUCAUGAGCAGCCCCUUCUGUUAUGCAGAGAAUCAUCAGCAGCAGCAGUACUGCUAGAAGCAAGAAACGUGAAGAAGUUUUCAUCAUCUGGGUUCUUUGAAGGGUUGAGGGGUGAAGUGGAAAGUGAGUGUCUUUAUCUUAUAUAUUGAUUGAUGGGUUUGGGGUUUGGUUCGGUUCCCAAUUUCACCGAAACGGUUCUCAGUUGUCGUCAUGUGUGAUUGAUUAAUUGCUUGCUUUUAUGGCGUUUACAUGCCGGCAGAUACUAGUGAAUGGUGGCAGUAGAGUUUUUGCAGAUUUAAGGAAUGGUAAGUGUUGGUUGGUGUUACAAGUGCAUGCCAGCCAAAUUUUAGCCCGAUUGGUUAAAGUUAUGGACUGAUGUAGUUACAAAUAUUUCGAGAUAUUGAAUUUGAAUUUGAAUUUCUUAAAACAUUUAAUCGAUUGGUUAAGGUUAUUGACUGAUGUAGUUACAAAUAUUUCGAGAUAUUAAAUUUGAAUUCUAAUUUCUCAAAAUAUCAAAGCUAGAGUUGACUCUUUGCACCCUCAAUGUAAAAAGUUAACUUUUGAUUCAGGUCAUAUUAGACUUUGGUGGGUGACAUUACUUAUUCUGUGAUGAAUUUUGAUAAAACUACUUAUUUUGAGUUGAAGUGUUGGUAGCAAUUAACAAGCGACUAUCGGCAAAACAAUGAAAGAAACAUCUUAUGUCGAGACCUGUUCUUGAAACAAAAUCUUUAAAACAAGAACGAGUUUAACAAAGUCGGACGGUCCAAAAGUGGCAUCUGCAUUACAAAAUUGCCAUCCAAUUUUCACUUGUUUGGUCUACUUCGAUUGCCCCCACCUCCUGGCCGAAUGCGGUGUCGUUUUGUAGGAAAUAGGAGCAAAACCAAACGUCAGGAUUUAGGGGUUGAGUUGAGAGUAAAGAGUAAGAUCACAAAUGGCUUCAAGACAGAACCACCAGCUGUAUAUGUUGUUUUCAUGUCUAAGUGUCAUUACUCCUGGGAGGACACUUUGCCAGACAGUUGGCAAUAGAACAGAACAGCAAAAUUGAUACAUACACGAGUACAGUACAGUAAGAUUGAGUAAAUGAAAGAUUACCUAUCAUGAUCCUUAUAUGGGUUCAUCAUUUAAACCUUGUUAGUCUUAAAAGAUUCCAUCUUUUUACCGUUUUAGAAUCAAAAGAUUCGAUCUUUUUACUGUUUUGGCAUUAGUAACGAGAUGGGUUAAAUAGGAAUUUGAUUCCUUUCAAUGACCCCAUGAGAGGGGAGUGCAUGUAUAAACUCUAGUUGUGAAUUUACAGCUAACUGUUACAAUACAAAAACAGUAUGGUUUCUUUUCAUCUACUAAGACUAUCCAAAAGCAUCUAAAUCUCUUGAUCAUGGUCUGCUGCUUAAGCUCGAAGUAACAGAAACAAAAAUCUCUUCACUGCAAGGAAUGGUCAAUCCACCCAUUGAAUGAUUAAAUCCGAAUUCCUCUUCAGCCAUCAUCAACAAAUCCUGAAAUGAUGGCUGGCUUAAGUAGGACACCGGCACGAUGAAUCUCUUCUUCUGUGUUUCUCCUCCGACGUAUACUGCUAAGAACCCCUUUGGCACAUCUUGAAACCUCGAAGUUCCUCUGCUCGAUCCGGAGCCAGUUCUUCGGAGAAUCUGCUUGGCUAAACUACCAGGCAAUCCAAUAGCCAUGAUGAUUUUUUAUGAAUUUGAAGGAUAAGAACUUGAAGAACAAUAAAAAGAGAUCAGUAGACAAUUGAGAGAGUUGGUUGUGGUUUUUGUGAGAUAAAAUUGUAUGUUCAAAAGAAACCUUUAUAUAGACAUAAAUUAGUGUUCAUGAAGGAUCCCACCAUGGCCUUAUGAAUGAAUCAUUGCUUGGUCAUAGACAUAGUUCAUGAAGGAAUCACAUGUUGCUGUCUUUGAUUGAUGCUGGUAAGAAGAAUAAGUUACAUACCCUACAAGUGGAGGGGCUAACCCUGCGGAUGUAGUGAUGCUAGCUGUCCUUCUCAAGAGAAGAGAAGAGGAGAGAAAGAAGUCACAUGGACUUGCCUUGAAACCAUUGGACAUAAGGGGUUUUGAUUGUAGGAAUGAACUUUGUGGUGGAUGUGAAGCUCAUUUGUCAAGUUUGGUUCGGAAUAUGUUAGGAUUAUGUUUAAUUAUGGCACAAGAAGAAGAUAGAAGGUUAGAGAAAUUGAUUGAUUGGAAAGUAUGGUUGACUUUAGGUUCAAAAGUACAGGAUGACAUCAUUUUACUUUGAACUUUUGUAACAAGUGUAAUUAUCUAAUUUUAAUCGACAUAAUAUACUAUAAUUUUCGUUCAUUUCUAGUAUACUUUUUAUUUGAAUUCACAAUGAGUCUGCCCGAGUCAUUCACAAUGAGAUUAAAUAAGUUCCUCAACCGGAGACAAUCAUUACAAAAUUGGUGACUUGUUGAAAAGAACGUAAUUUGGUAUGACAAACUGCCUAUAUGAAAUCGAAGGGAACAUGGCAAGGGAGGCAAAGUAUAUUGAGAAAUUUUGGUUGGCUAAGGAACUUACUUAAUAUUAUUUUAAAUGAUGUCGUAGGUUUGAUUGUGAUUUUGGAUGUGAUUGUAUAUGAUAUAAGUGAACCGUAAAUAUUGGUAUGUUACAUCAAAAAAAAAUAAGUCACUUCAAAAUUUACUAAUAGAAGUUAGUAAAGCUGGAAAACUUGAGAUGUAACCUGUCCAACUUACCACCCGAGAUAAACGAUUCAUGUAAAUUAUGAACAAAUCAAAAAGUUUGAGUGGUAAAUCAAGAUCAAAUGUAUUCCAGGAUCAAACUGUAAAUAUAACUUCUGAUUAAUCUUGUUCAUAAUCUGUAAAUGAUACUAAAUCAGUGCUCUAUAAGGAGCAAAUGGAAUCCUUUAUGUUCAAUCUUUUCCACAUAAACCUUUCCUGCUAAAAAUUGGAGAGGAGAAACUCUUCAAUACGGUUACACACUAUCUCCUAACUUGUUAAAAAAAAAUCGGUUCAUGAUCUGCUCAAACUUGAAGUAGCAGAAACGAAGGUCUCUUCACUACAAGGAAUGGUCAACCCGCCCAUUGGAUGAUCAAACCCGAAUUCUUCCUCAACCAUGCUCAACAAAUCUUGAAACGAAGGCUGGCUCAGAUACGACACCGGCACAACAAAUCUCUUCUUCUGCGUUUCUCCAACAUACACUGCUAAGAACCCCUUUGGCACAUCUUGAAACCUCGAGGAUGAUCCUCUGGCUAGGCUAGGCUACCUGGCAAUCCGAUGGCCAUGAUGCUACCUGGCAAUCCGAUGGCCAUGAUGCUUUUUAAUGAAAUCUUAGUUUAGAGGGAAAAUGAAUUGAAGAGAAGUACAGAAGAUAAUCAGUUAACAAUUGGGAGAGUUGUUUUGAGUUGGGAUGUGAUGAGAUAAGCUCAAGCUCAAAAGAACACAACUUUAUAUACACAAAAGUUAUAUGGAGUAUGCACAUCACUGGGGCAUAGUUCAUGAGGUAUCACAUGUUUCUGUCUUCUAAAUGAUUGAACAAGAACACAGGUAGAAACCCUACAAGUUUAGAACUAAUCAAAAUGAAUAUGGUGAAGCUAGCUAGUAGACUAACUGUCAUUUUCUUAUGCAGGGAACAUACUUCAGGAAAACCUACCAGAACUUAUGGUUUGAUGAGAAGGAAGUCACAUGGACUUGGCUUGAAACCACUGGACAUAUGGUGGGGAAGAGGGGACAAGGGAUUAAGAAUCAUACACAUAAUUAAAGAUCAUAUACAGUUUCUGGUGUAAGUGUGGUAGAUGUGAAGCUACUACCACUUUUGAUUAGGAAUUUGUUGGGAACAGCUAGUUAGUUACAUACACACAGUUGCUGGUGUAAAGAAUGACACUUUCAGCUAAUGAGACUUGAUGUUCCUCCAUUGGCAGAACGAUGGUCACUAGACAUGAAUGUUUCCUCAAAACAAAAAGGCAGAUAAAGCUAUAGUGAAUAGACAACAUAUAUGGUAGUUCAGAAUUUCAUUAUGUUAUCAGAACCGAACUAGUCGUCGAACUGGUCAGGAGGUUCAAGAGGUCAAAAGGUACAACCGGGAUCGAAACCAUAAAAUGAUAGAAAUCAGUAUAAAGACCCGAUUACAUUCUCAAAUCUAGUUUAAACUAAAGACUAACUAACAUAACAAAGUAACAAGCAGCAAAUGAAUCCAAGACAUGUCAAUUCCAUCAAAGCAUUUCAAUAACUGCAAAUAAAUCAAUUAAAAACACAGCAACCUAACUGAAAAAGCAAGAGUUAAGGACAACACACCUAUAGACAUGUUGCACCUUUGUAAACCAUCAACAGUUCCUCGGCAUCAUCUACAGACCGAAACACAAACUUCUCGAUAAACCUCUCAUCUGUCAAGCUCGCAACAGUACCAAAAUUCGGCCUACUCUUUAACAGUGCUUUCGACACCAAAACUUCCAACACACGAUACCUCGGAAUCACUCUUUCACUCAUGAUAUACAUAAACAGCGCAGGACUACGACAAAUCAUCUCCCUCGUCAGCUUCAUUGUGUUCAAAUAGAAAUCAAUCCCGAACUUCAACUUCUCCUCACCAUGCCUCAUCAACACAGGAGCCUUUCUGAGCAUGUCGUUACAUUCCUCCCUCGAAAACCCGAACUCAAUAAAGACUGCGAAUUUCUUCUCCAUUGCAAUGUCGUUAAAUCCAUUGACAGUAUGCAAACCAUACACAAACAUAUUGGAUCCAACCGAAAACCCAAACCCCAAAGUCCUCGAAACAACAUCCCUAAGUUGAGAUUCCGUCGCCAAGAAAAUCCUCGGCUGCACCCUGAACAGUAUCGAGAGCUGAGAAUCCACAAUGCCAUAACUCUUCAGAAACGCAAUGUUCGACAAUAAUCUCGAUUCCGGGUACCUAUAGAGCACCCAGCCGGAUUUCUCUACGCCUCUAGACAAAUCCUUAUGAGAUACGGUUUUCUGCAGAGUGUCAAUCCGACGAACCAGCUUCUGAUUCAAGCUAGCAGUUAAAACCCCAGGGUUUUUGGAGAGGAACUUACCGAGACGAGAACCUUCGAACCCUAGUUUCUGGAUUUGCUGGAUCUUGGGUUUGAGGGUCUGGUCGAGGUUCGCGAACAGAAUCUGAGGUGCUCCGGAGACUGUUGAUUGGAUGUGGUCGUCCGUUAGACCUAGGUCGCGGAAGAAUCGGGAUAAAGCUUUGGGCUUUUGAGGAGAUCUGAGUGGGGAGAAGCGAGCGGCGAUUGCUACGGCUUGGGUUUCGGUGAAUUUGAAGGUGGAAAUCAAGCAAUCUAUUAAGGGAGAUGUUCUUCUUGUGGUUGGGGUUCCGGCGAGAUUAGAGAAGCAGGCAAUGAAGCAAGCUCCUCCUCCUCCUCCUGGAAAUGAACGUAGAUUGCCGAGACGGUAAGCUGAGAGUAGCUUGAGAGAUAGCAUCGCGAGCCCAGAAAUGCACAAUGCUGAAAGACUGCAGAAGAAGCGCUGUUAACUCAAGAAUCAUUUCAACCCAAAAGAUCCUUCUGAUAUAGAAUUACUCUCUAGAAUUCCACAUUUUGUCCCUCUGAAUAGAUAAAAUGACUGAAAUGUCCUGAUUUUUUUUAAAUUACCGCCACCAUCUAUCAGAUGGACGUCGGACUCAUCGCCGGCGAAGUCCAAAUAGAUUGCUAGCCCAUAUGCACCUCGCCGGCAACGGGAUCGCCCAUCGUUGGACCUUGGAUCGUUAGAAAUUUUCGAACGAGUGUGUUAAUUCUACAGACGAAAGUGCAAUCGUUUUAGGAUUAUGAUAAUUUGAAAAAAUAAUUUACAACGAGUUGGGUUACGAUAUGAUAAAAGAGGAUUCUCCAUUAUGUUCAUUGUAAACCUUUUCAUGCUACAAAACUAGUAAAUUUACAUAAGAUGUCCUAACCUAUUACAAGUGUAUUAUUCAUGUUCUGCUCAAACUUGAAGUGGCAGAAAUGAAAGUCUCUUCAUUACAAGGAAUGGUCAAUCCACCCAUGGAAUGAUAAAAUCCGAAUUCUUCCUCGGCCAUGCUCAAUAGGUCUUGAAAUGUUUGAUGGCUCAGAUAGGAGACUGGUACAAUGAAUUUCUUUCUUUGUGUUUCUCCAACAUAUACUGCUAAGAAUCCCUUUAGUACACCUUGAAACCUCAAAGAUUCGCCUUUACAUCCGGAGCUGGUUCGUCUGAGGAUCUGCUUGGCUAGGCUACCUGGCAAUCCAAUAGCCAUGUUUGAUGUUGAGACCCUUUAUGAACUUUGUAGAAGAGAAGAGAUAUCAAUAGAUAAUUGGAAGACUUGGUUUGUGUUUGGUUAUGACUUAUAAGCUCAACUGAGAAUAGUUUUUAUAGGGUUGCAAUUAAUGAUUCUUCACCACAACUUGGAAUGUACCAAAUUAUAAACAUGACAUCAUUUGGUACCUAAUUAAUUAAAGAUAUCACAUGCUCUUGCCUUCUAAUGAUGCCACAAAUGUAAGUACUUGGCUACCCUACAUUUUCAAGGGUUAUACUAAAGCUUAACCACAUAAUGAUGUUCUGAAGAAGUGGAUAUGGUGAAGCUAUUAGUCCAUUCCAUGUAAGUUGUACCUAAUUAUGUCGAUUUUAAAGCCAUCCGUUCAUAGCUCGGACCAACCUUUGACAAGGCAUCCCUAAGACUUUGAAUUGAACUAGAUUAAACAAGUUAACUAACACAAAGCACCAAAAGAAUCUAAGUCUUAUUGCUCUUAGGAUCCCACAUAACAAGAUUUGGACCAAAUGAAGUAUCCCUCUUCUUGCCAUGUUGGAAGGGCACACUCCAUGCAAUCCAUAAGCUCUGUCUUGUUAACUCUCAUGUGAAGGAUAAUAACUUGUUAAAUCCUUGGUUCAAGAUGUCUGGUUUUGUCUCAAACAUGUCCACACAACAACAUCAGGACAUGAAGUCUCACCUGUGGUUCCCUACAUUUGACAGAAGCUUGUCAUUCUUUAAUGAGCUAUGUCUCAGUAAUGUUCAUAAAUCAUAAGGCUAUUAGUAAGUGACGUGGCGAUGGUUCCAAGUCUGAGCUACAAAUAUGACAAAAUUAGCGGCAAUCAUUUUCGCAUAAUACUAAUUAGCCGAUAUUAUAGAAUACAUAAAAGUAGGAAAACAACAACAAAAACCAGCAUCGUGACUUAACAGUCCAGCAACCUUUCAAAGAGACCUGUAAUCCGCAGUUUUGUCUUUGCUCAUUGUUUCCAACUUCUUCCCUCUGUUUUAUCAUUGGGGAAAUGGUAGAAAGAGAAGUUUUUUUCUUCUUUUUGGAGAGUUUCGAUUUGAUAUAUUAUUCUUCGAAUAGUCUGUUCUGAUUAAAUUUCAAUUUUAUAUAGAGACAAGGCCUCAAACUUAAUUGUUGAAUACCGUUCUUCCAAUGAAGAACAACAGCUUGUUAUCAAUAUUCUAUCUAAAGUUAGUAAUUUUGUCUAAAUCCACCUAUGAUGAAUCUGACUUCGACCAAACCUCAUACAACGUAGACUCAAGUCAAUUUUUUACUUCGGAGAACAAAAAGUCCAUUCAAGCAUUAAUCAACCAAAUUUAAUUUCUUAUUUUCGCUCUUUCCUAAAGAGAAGUUAGAAUUCUGACAUAGAAUGUCCGGAUAUCCAUAGCUAUACUAGAUGACAUCCUUAACCAGCUGAACCGGUAGCAUUGGGAUUAGAUUGAAAAGUUAACAGAGUUAGGAAAAGCUAAAUAUUCACAAGGUAGAGCACAGGUGUUAUGUUAAGGUUAGUACAGUCCAAAACAGACUUCCAAAUCCAAUAUGGUUAGAACAAGGAACAAAAUACCAGGAUGCCACUAUUCACCUUCAACUUAGUUAACCAAAUAUAUAAACCAACCAACCCUACACCUCUUUACACAACUCACUCCUCCCUACACCCCAAAAAAAACAGCAAACUUGACAAUUUCAUCAAUCACAUUUGAUAUCUCCAGCAAAGAUGGCCGGUGCCAUGGCUGCUAAACUCAUGUUCAGCACCAUUGCUGCUGUGCUCAUCAUGUCCGCUUAUGCUUCUGCUGCGGAUCAAAACAUCCCUGGAAUGGCUGGACUCCUCGGAAUGUCUGAUAUGCCUGAUAUGCCUGGUAUGGCUCCGGCUCCUGGACCCUCGACGAAUUCAGCCCCCAUCUCGGCUCCUUUUGUGGCCCUCGGAGCCCUUGCUGCUAUGGCUACUUACCUCUUUUGCUAGGGUCCAAGUCUGAUAAGACAAUGAAGAACUCUGCCUUUUUCUUAUGAUGUCUUUGGAACAAUGGCUGAUGUAUGUUCAUAAGUUAUCUUGCGUGGUAUUUCUUUGUUGAGUGUUUGUGUUCUUAUAUCUAUGAUAUAAUCUAUCGUUGUAUUUGAAUGUCUCUUGUUCCAAUGAUCUAUCUAUGUUGUUUACUAAAACGUGACACCGUUGAAGAAUUAAGCUAUGUUUACUAAAACAAGAAACUUCUGUGUUAUAUGGUAACUAGUUAUACGACCAAAUAACUAGUUAUUUAAUCCGAAUUAUUAGUUAUUACCAAUAUAACUAGUUAUAUGUGAAAAUAACUAGUUAUAACUAAUAUAUAAACGAAUAACUAGUUACGCAAGCAGUAAGAGCUCAAAGUUCUGGUGGUUUUGAAUUUGAAAGAUAGGAAUGUGCAAAGGCUGCAUGUAGAGCUGCACCUACAGUGAAAGCAUCUUCAUCUAUGAUAAAAUAAGGGCUGUGAGGUGGGUAUAUGGCUCCCAAUUCCUCAUUCCUAACUCCUAGAAACAUGAAAACACCAGGCACUUUGUCCAAGUAGAAUGCAAAAUCUUCACUUCCCAUAAAGCUUGGAGAUAGCUUUGUGUUGGACUCCCCUACUAGGUCUGCUGAGACUCGCCUAGCAAACUCGUAGAUUCUGUCGUCGUUGAUCGUUGGUGGGAUGUUCGAGUGUUCCUCCCCGUCGAAAUCUACCUCUGAUGUGCAUCUGUGCACUGCUGCUUGUGCUCCAAUCACCUGGCAUCAGAAUACAGAAUCAGUUUUACCAUAAAGUUCUGAGCUUUGGAUCAAAACUUUGCUAUACCUCUUUGAUUCUUUCUCUGAGGGACUUGAAGGUUUCCCUGCUGAAAGCCCUGUAUGAUCCAGCUAUCAUGGCUGAAUCCGGAAUCACAUUGAACGCGGUCCCCCCAUUGAUCAUCGCAACAGAAACCACCUGCAAGAAUCAUAUAUGCAUAAUUUUAGUAGUGAUACAGAUUGAUGUUAAUUACUGUGUUAUAGGACUGAAUAACUAGUAAUUUUACCACUUUCCUCCCAUACCUGAGAAUCUAGAGGGUCAGUUUCUCUUGAUACAAUGUUCUGCAAGCUGAUGACCAAUGAAGAAGCUGCAACGAUCGGAUCGAUGGAGUUCUGAGGAAUGGCUGCAUGGCCACCUUUCCCGGUGAUCUUCGCCUUGAAGCUUCCGCAUCCAGCAAGGAAUUGUCCCGGCCUGGAUGCAACAGAGCCUGAUGGAAAAACAUGAGCUAUGUGGAUUCCGAAAAUCACUUCCACAUUUUCCAAUGCGCCUUCUGCUAUCAUGUCUUUCGCUCCGAGCCCUUUCUCCUCCGCGGGUUGAAAUAUCAGGACCACAGUUCCCUGGAGAAGGACAAACAGGAUGAUAUUAGUAAAAAAAAUGGUCCCAAUUGAAAGGAUUGGUUUGAGAUUUCGAAAAAAAGACGGAGAUUUAUCGGAACCUGCAAUGUGUGUCUCAUCUGUUGCAGAAUCUUUGCAGCACCAAGAAGCAUUGCAACGUGAGCAUCAUGCCCACAGGCAUGCAUUUUCCCAUCUACUUUGCUCUUGUGCUCCCAUUCCACCAUUUCCUAAAGGAACACGGAUUACAAAAAGAAACGGACGUUCAGAGCUUUUUGGGUGAAAGAUUCAGAGUUGGUUUGAAUUUGAGAUGUGGAAGAAGGUGAUUUGAGAUAGUUAGUGAUUUGAAAUCAUUAAUAUCUUAUUUGUUUUUUAAAAUUGAGAGUGAUUCAUUUCAAAUAAAAAUAGUUAAAUUAACUUAUUUAAAAAGAGAUUAGAUUGCCUUUUAAUUCCAAAAUUAGUCUUCUCAGUUCUUCAUAUAUUUAAUGGCAUUGUCAUAAUUAUUAAAUUUUAAUUUGGUUAAUAUGUUAUUUUGUGAUCACACCAAGUUCAUGAUGAUUUCAAAUCAUCAUGGGACCACAUGGGGUGAUUUCAAAUCUCCACCAUUUUUUAAAAUCAAACAAAAAAUUCUCUCCCAAAUCUCUUUUCAAAUACAAAAAUCAAACGACUUUUCAAUCUUCUGGUGGAUUCAUAACCCUAAAGACCUAAACCACAAAACCCAGAUCACCAUUUCCCCCAAGGAUGAUUUAAUUUGUAACAUUCUCUCUGCAAGAACAUAACUUCGAGUGAUCAAAGUCAUAUGCUCUCAAAAUUUCAAUGAUUAGAUUUUUAGCAGCAAUCCCCCUAACUUAUAAUCAGUACUAGAAACACCACAUAACUUUUUGGAAUCGCUCUCACAGUCCCAACACAACCAAAAACUAUCUUUAACCAAUAUUUAAAUAAAAAUUUGUGUUCCUCAGCACAUAUUAAACAAUCCAGCGUAUGAGAGCCAAAAGCUAAGCUUAAAAAACAGUUUAAUUAGUACUAAUUAUACCACCAAUGCAUGGAAAAUGAUAAACAAUUCCCAUAACCGAAUCAACUAACAGUUAAGUUACAAUCUUUUUUUCGAAAAUAAUAAUUCAACAUUUUUCAAUUUCAUAACAAAAAGAAGCUCGGGCUCUCGUACAAUGACGCUUCAUUUACUAUCAUGAUCAACAAACAGCCUUCUACUAGUGCUCCUAGUUGACCCAAGAUAGAAUCUGGAUCAUGAAAUGGCCAAUGUACUAUACCGGAAUGUUCUCUCUCCACUAAUUCGAUUGACGAAUACCGUAACUCACUUAACUCGAAACCCAAUUCAUCAAUUAAUUUGUAACUUGACUAACCUAAUCCGUGACACGUCACUCACUCUUUAGUCUUUAGACGGUUACUCAGUUUUGUCAAAUUGGUUGACUAGUCAACUUUAUUUCACCCACAUUGACUCACCCAUGCAAGUGUCAUUAUACAAAAUAGGAAACAGAAAAAUAAUUAUUAUAUAUUUUUCCCAAAAUAGAAUAAAUGAUUAAAUUCCCCUAAAAGACUAAAAAAAUCCAACCGACCUGAAUAGGCAGAGCAUCCAUAUCAGCCCGGAGCGCCACAAACGGCGGUGAACCAUCCCCAACCGUCGCCACAAUUCCCGUCUUCGUCACCGGCCACCGGUACGGUAUUCCCAGCCGGUCAAGCUCCUCCCUUAUCAGCUCACUCGUCUCGUACUCCUCGUAAGCAAGCUCUGGAUUCUCGUGAAUCCGCCGCCUUAUCCUCCUCAUCAUAUCCACCGUCGAUCCCUCACUGGCCAGCUCGACUAUCUCAUCCCGAACCGAAAAGUUCCCCGCUUUCAUAACCGGGUAGCUCGAAUGAACCGCGGGUUGGCAGCAGAGGACGGCGGUGAAGAAGAGGGAGAGAACAUGCAGAUAUAGUACUACUGCCGCCGUAGCUCCGGCCGCCGCCAUGGGAGGUGGGGGGGGGGGGGGAAUUUGUUUAACGGUGGGAAAGUUAAGUUGGAAAAUGUGGAUGGUGUUGAAUUUUAUAGUGCGGUUUUUGGUUUUUGGGUUUUGGGUUUCGGGUAGGGUUUGUUUCGGUUUUGAUAUGUCACGUCUGGGUAAGGACUAAGGAGUUACGUGGUGCAUGUGUUUUAUUAUUUUUUUAAUAGCGUGGAUCACGUGCGGGAAAACUAUGAUCUUUGUUUCGUAAAGUGUAAUAGAUAUACUGUGCUAGUUUUGAGGUUGUUUGUGUUUUCCACCUGGGCCUACUUUGUUCAUCAUCUCGUAUAUGGGAAUCCUAGGCGUUUGUUCAUCCACGGUAACAAUGCCGAUGAAGGUAACAAUGACUUAGUAACAUCGAACUUUAUGGCGGUGAUCGACAGAUGUAAAGGUGUGUGUUCACACAUUUGUUAGGGGAUCCAUUAUCAAAGUUGUUAUUGUUAUAAGUAGCCCUUUUUAUGUAAUUAUAUAUCGAUUUGUCAAACACUUAAUCAUUAAUAAAAACAAUGUUUGUUUCUUAGAUGAAAAACAUGAAACUUUAUAUUUCAUGUCCAUGUUAAUUAGUAAUGUUAGUUAAGUAAGAAAGCACUUUACAAAAAAUUAUUUAACUUUUUAUUGUAUUCGUACCGUAUUUUAAUUUUACUAACUAUGAGGAGUAAAGAAAAAAGAAAGUUGUAUAAUUUCAAGACUUGGACACUCGCUAUCAUCCAAUACAUCGGCACGAGUUCUGAUAACAAAUUGCAUGGCAAGUCAUUGGUGGAAGUAGGGAAAAGUCAUUGGCUUUUCUGCGAUUGCUUGGCGAAAUAAGAUAGAGAUUUAUAUUGGUGGUCAUUUUUUAAAAUGUAUUGUAUUUGAAUUUGAAAUUUUUGCGGCACAUAUAAUUUUAUUAUCGGAAUAAUUAUGUUUGGAUCUGCACAAAUAUGAAGAGACGAAAGUAAGUGAAAUUUAUGUAUUAGUGGUUCCUUUUUCUAUAAGAUUUUAUUUAUAAUUAUGUUUUCUUUUAGCAAGGCAGAAAAGGAAACAACUUGGAUCAAUUAUUCCAGAUGCUUUUUAUUUAAAUACCAACUCUAUUCAUAGAAAUCGAAUUUCGUCCUUUCUAUAUUUCUCAACAACAGUCAAGAGAGAAUUGGGAAUUUUUCAUAUUUAAAUAACACCAUUCAAUGUGAUAGCCCUACCAAAUUUUGCUUUCCAGAAAAUAUCUAUUAUGCCCGAACCCAAGAAUCAGAAUUUUAGUGAUGUUAAAUCAUAGACAAACAAGUAAUAGUUCAAACAUGCAUGGACCAAGCCAAGGCUUGACUGUCCAAGAGAAGCCUAGGGUUAUGCCUUGCUCAUCAGGGCCAUUGAUCAUAGGUAAGAUCCAAACAAGCGCCAUGCUCGGAAUCCUAGUGACCCGUGACUCGGUUUUCACGGCGGAUAAAUCUGAAUUUGGGGUUUUCAGGGUUUAUUGGCCGGUUUAGAUCCGAGUUUGGACGAAUAUAAUUUGGCCAUUCAAGAAGAACGUUAUGACAUCUCAGCCAUAAUCUUUGUGUUGCUAUAAAAAGGAGGAACGAUAUAAGGACAAAGCAGUAAUCACGCUCUCCCUAUCUUUUACGCUACACGAAUACGUUUAUAAAGUCCAUUUUCGCUACUUUUUUGUUUUCCAAACCCUCCCUUUCUACACAACUCAACUCCCUACUUUUUUCCCGUUUCGUCACAUGCCUAACCAAGUACAUCUGGACUCACCCCAAAUCUCUAAUAUACAUGGUAAAUUAUUUGACUUUCAUUGAUACAAACUCUUAUUUAUUUUAAUUAACUUACCUGCACCAUUGUCUAAACCAUUGCUACAUGCUAAACCCGAAUCGGAUCAGCUGGUCCAACCGUGAAUUCGACACCAAGCACGGUGGUUUGGGAGGUUUAGACUCUAAAACUACAUUAGUUCAGAGAAUUUGUUUCUUUUAUCAACAUGAGCAAACAUUAUAGUACGUGUUUAUUUUUAAUCUUAUCUUCAAAGUGGUGAUCAGAUCAAUCUAGUAAAAGUAGUUAAUAUUAUCCUUGAAGCGGUGGGAUGAAACCCAACUUUUCAGUUCAUCUAGGCUUCGAAGUUAUAACUGACCAAUAACCAACCAUGCAAAGUGCAAACACCAAAGUGUUUUCAACUUUUUACUUUUUACUUUUUACCAACUUCUUUGUUCUCGUAGACCAAACCACAAGGUCACUCAAGUUUGAGAUAAGUAACAACUCGGUCACUCCAUUUUCAUGCUUGUGCUGUCCUCCCUGUGGACAUUUAAUAUUGUGAAUGAUGAUGAAGUCACAGGUCAGUUGGGGAAUAUUGACAUGUGUUGUUUCCUGAGUUUGAUACUAUAAUUUACUUCUGUUUUCUGGAAACCUCUACUUCAGAGUCUGGUACCACAGGGAAAUUUUGAAAUUUCUACCAUAAUUGUUUGCUUCAUGAUUAAGAUUGUAUGUAGGUGUGCAAGUGACUUAGUAUAACGUCAGGAUCCCAACUCCCAAAGAUAUAUUGUUUAGUGGGAAAAUGGAUUAUAUGUCAAAUUUUAUUGACAAUUUGAUAUAGGAUGUCAGUCAGUUUUUGUUAAAUUAAUUAUAUAAUUUGAACUUUCAUUUUUAAAAUAGGUAUCAUUAAAAGCUCUUGUAAAAGUUGUAACCCCAGAUGACAUGCAGUUCAGUUUCAAAGUUUAGUGUUCGAAUGAUUAAUUAAAAACAACAUCAUACUAUAUGAAAGAUCGGACCCAGAAUAAUUCAUAAUGCAUAGUGACCCUUCAAAUUAACCAGACUCACUCUAUUUUUGAGGAUUGUUAUUAUAUUCGAGAUAAAUAUCAACUAUUCGGACUUGAACUAAAUAGUUCCAAACUGAAAUUGUUGUUCUAUUCCAAUGAUAAAAAAAAUGGUGUUCUGUAUAUCAAAUGGGGCUAGAUUUUUCUAUUUGGAUACAACGAAUUAUAAUUGUGCAUGUGUUAGUGAUGCUACCAUACUUCAUGUCUUCGUGUCGACUGUUUCAAACACAUGCUUUGAAAAACAAACAAACAAACAACGACGGUUGGUCGAAUAAACUCCAUCCUCUAAUCUCAUUCUAAUUUUGUCAAAUCUCAUUUUUGUCAUUUCCACCAAACACUCUCUUCCACAGCUUCCAAAUCACUCCAAUGUUACUCUUCUCUUCGCUCAACCCCACCAUCGAAUCACACAUCACAGUCACAAUCCCUCCCUAUCACCGGACCCCUUGCCGGAAUCCACCAUGAAAUCGACAAACCUCCACCUCCUCCUCCUGGUGAUGAUCCCACUGGCACAUUCCCAACAGCUCACAUUCGACUACUACGCCAAAACAUGCCCGAAAUUCGACGACAUUAUGAAGGAAACCGUGACAAAGAAACAACUCUCUAACCCAACCACGGCUGCUGCAGUCCUCCGGCUCUUCUUCCACGACUGCAUGGUGGACGGUUGCGACGGGUCCACCCUCGUGGCAUCCACCCCGUUUCACAAGAGCGAGCGGGACGCUGACCUCAACCUCAACCUUCCCGGUGACGCUUUCGAAAUGGUGGUCCGUUCCAAGACCGAGUUGGAGCUCGAAUGCCCGAAUGUGAUCUCGUGUGCGGACAUUCUAUCCGUGGCAACUCGCAACCUUGUCACAAUGGUUGGUGGACCGUUCUAUCCGGUCCGCCUUGGCCGGAAGGACGGCAUGGUUUCAGACCCUUCCCGGGUGGAGCCCAACAUACUCCGCCCCACAAUGUCAAUCUCUCAGAUCAUCGGAUUCUUUGUUUCGAGAGGGUUCACGGUUCAAGAAAUGGUAACAUUGAUGGGAGCGCAUACGAUCGGGUUCUCACAUUGUAGAGAGUUUGCUAAUCGGCUUUACAAUUUCAGCAAGGAAACCCCUACAGAUCCUUCACUCAACCCGAAAUUUGCAGACGGGCUGAAGAAACUGUGCGAAAACUAUACGAAGGACCCAACAAUGAGCGCAUUCAACGACGUGAUGACCCCUGGGAAAUUUGACAACAUGUAUUACCAAAAUCUGGAGAAAGGUUUGGGAUUGCUUUCGUCGGAUGAAGCUAUGUACAUGGAUCAGAGAACGAAGCCUUUCGUCAACCUUUAUGCAAAGAAUGAGUCGGCCUUCUUCCAAGCGUUUGCUCAAGCGAUGGAGAAGGUCAGUAACUACAAGGUCAAGACAGGGAAAGAUGGAGAGAUCAGACAUAGGUGCGACCAGAUCAACACUGUAAAAAUUUAAGGAAGAACACUGUCAGAAAUGGGAAAGAGAGAAACUUUGUUUUUAAGAUAAGGUUUUGAAUAUCAAAUACCUGUCCAUGAAGCUAUUCCCGGAACCUGAAAGAGAAUUGGCAGAUCCUGUAAACAAAGAAGAACACCAGAGAAUGCAGCCUAUGGAAAACUACACUAUGAACUAACAAAAAUUAUUUCUGCAUAGAUUAUGCAAAUGUACAAUUAUGGUUCUUACAAUCACGAAGAGCAUAGAAAAAUCUAAAGAAAGGAAUAGCCCGGCAAAAAAAAGAGAUCAUAUUUUACAAUCACAUUAUGCUUAGCAAAUUUACAACACAAGGAUCUCGCGCUUCGUCAUUAGUCAUGACAAAGUCUAUGAAUUGGAUCAGCAUCUUAUAUCACGCUAGCAUUAGCUAUCGUCGCAGCUUUGUUGGAUAAUGAAUGCAUAUCUGGUUCAGCUAAUGAUGUUCCUCUGCAGAAAUGAACAUUGAUGAUUAUGGACCAUUCACGAACCGAAUUGGCAAGAACGGGGAAUGAAGAACUAUAAUGUGGCCUUACAUGGAUUAGCAAGCCUUUCUUUUUUCUACUUUUAACUGGUGGAUGUUGAACCAUUUCUUCUUCUUUGGUCUAUCUCUUGUCGAUGAUGAUUUCUUUUCUUUCGGCUGUCCGUCUUCUUGGCUCUCUUUGAAGGAGCCUCUGCUCCUACUUUUACUCAUACUCCGCUUCAUCGCUGGUGCAGCAGUAUAGGCUGCAUGAAUUUCGUUCCUUUGUUUUAGAAGCUCGUCGAUCUGCACAAAAACCAAUACCGUAUAUCAGAAACUCUCUACUGAUUCAGAAUGCUGGCAAAUUAUAUCAGAGAAAGAAACUUUCAGAAGUUUUUAACCUCUUGCAUUUCCUGGGCGUAUCUGGUUGUCAUUUGUGUGAACUGCGCCAAAACCUCCCUAUAUUCAGUUUCGAACUUCGAUAUUUCUGCCCUCUUCUCGAGAAUUUCAGCUUCAACGGCUCUUAGGUUCUCCUUUUCUUCACUAAAACGUGCACCACAAAUGGCUUCUAUUGUGUAGCUUAUACUUUUGAAGAAGUUGUCACCUGAAACAGAUAAGCCAGAGUACAUGGGUCAGACCUAUCCACAAAUCAAAACCAAGAAAUACAAAGGAAAACAUAGGAAAAAGAACAAACAAGUCAUAGAACUCACCAUAGACAGCAAAAACAUGUGUUCCAGCCUUCAAUUCAUUUAUUUCGCAUGGUUGAAAGCCGUCCAGCCUUUUGAAGAAGGCAGCAUCAGCAUCCUUGGCAGCCGCAAGCUAGAACAAACCAAAAGAAAAGAGAAAAUUUAGCAAGCAUAUAAACUGAAUACAGAACGGAAAUUGAAGUCAUCUUUCAGGGUAUCAUCGUUAUUACCGAGUUCACUGUUUGGUCCAACCGAAAAGUUGGAAAACCAAGGAAAUACAUUCCAGCAGAUGUGACUUUUCCUGCUUUGGCGCUGUCCUCCUAAGUCAAAACACAAUCACAGAAUUAGCAAAAGAUCACAGUAUAUGAAGCUAUUCACAGCGACCUUCUAUUUGCAGCAGUGGUAUAUAACAGAGAAAGAAUUAUCUUAUAUGUUCAAAAUGUAACGAACUGUUACUUGUUCCCACCAACAACAUUAGUUACUGAAUAACCAGAAGAGAAAACGUUGAAUACCUGUAAAGCAAGGCUUAAUCCACGAUUGUCUUCUUGAUCAAAGUACAAUAACUGCACAGAGGCAUUGAAGUGGUAAGACUAACAGCAUUAACUUUAGGCGGGCACCUUCAGGGAAUUCUGUACAUAGAUUCAACAUUGUCCGAUGGUUACAAACCUUGAACUUGCUUUUGUCAGUUGAAUGGACUCGGCAAACAAAACCAGCUUUUGCUUCUUCCUCUGAGAUUUUGACAGAAUAGAAGUGAGCAGAUUGCUUCUCAACCUGCUUAGAACCGUAACCUCUAUGAGCACCAACAACAGUGAGAAAAAUUAAAAUUAGCAUCUGAACUAGGAGAAAUAUCUCACCUUCCGAGAUAUCGGAUGCCCCAGUUCAAGUGGGCUCACGGAAACUGCACCAUUAAGUGCUUCCUCCAAAAUAUUAGCUGAUACAGUUGUCUUAAUGGGCACACCAAGUUUGCUAUAGAUACAAGAAAAGGCAAAACACGCACAUGAAUAGCACAGCUAACAGAAAAUGAUUUAUGGAUGGUGACUAAAAGAAGCUACAGCAUUAAUCUGUAGAUAACCCACAGAAAAUGAAAUGAACUUACCUAAAAAGUGCUGCAAACAUAGUGUUCAUAGUUCCUAAGCUUGAUAGAUCCAGCUCCAAAUCUUGAUUUUCUGCCUCAACAGCCUGAUUCAAAAGAGUCGAAAAGAAAUAGGACGUUAAAAGUUGUUUCUGACAUCAGCUGGCAUGCACUGAAUCAGGAAAAACCAAGCCAAUGAUGGUUCUUAAUUCAAAUUCCAAAAAGGAUCAGAACAAGUGGUAAAAAACAAUCUUUAGCCAACUUACUGCAAAUCCAGCAUGAUCAAACUGGCGUCUUUUCUCAGGAUCAGACAAUAUGUCGUAGGAAAAUGUAGCUUCUUUGAACAUAUCAGCUGCUUCUGGAUCAUUUGCAUUCUUGUCUGGAUGGUACCUGAGACACUACAUCAUUAGAAAACUCCAACCACUAUUCUACCAAACAACUAUGCUAGAACAAUAUUAAUCAACCCAGCAGCAGUUUGACCCGUUUACCAAACAAAAUUUAGCUGCUUUAGCUGUUAACACAUCACCUGGUUUAUCUUGAGAAAUCAAAUACACAGAUCCACCAGAAAAAUAUGAAAUAACCUUUCCAUUUCCAGAAUAGUGACCAAAGGAAAAUCCUUUACAGUAUCUUGACUCAUAAUUGACACUUCGUUGACAUGAACAGAUAACUAAACAAUGAAUCAUUCAACUGAAAAAAUUCUCCAAAAGUUCCAAAGACAUCGAAUUUCUCCGUUCAAACGCAUGCAUUUUUAAGAAUAUGACCCCCCAAAACCCAACAGACAGAAACAAAAAGCAUAUACGUAUGUAAUGAGAAAAAUCGGAAAAGCUGAUAGCUUACUUGAGGGCCAUUUUACGGUAAGCGCUCUUGAUUUCCUGGUCGGAAGAGUUCCUGGACACGCCGAGGACCUCAUAAGGAUCCCGCCGGAGAUUCUUCCCGGCGGCAUCCUCCUUCUCCGACUUUGAUCUGUUUGCCGGCAUUUCCCCAAUCGAAUGAUAAACCAACCACAAAACAAUACACGAAGCAACAAACCCUAACAAAAACCUUCUUAGCAGCUCCCAAGCUUUCUGAACAUUUCUAUAUCAGAUUCCCCGUGGAGGGAACAAGAAAGAAGAUGAAUUUACCGACGCCCAGACGAAGGAAAAAGGGGUUAUAGAAGGAUUAGGAGGGAAGGGGAAGAAGAAGAAGAAGACUCCAUGGGGGGGCCUUCUGAAACGUGAGCUGGAGCUAAUAGAGACGCGAGAAAUGGCAGAGAGAGAAAGAGAUUAGACAAACUAAGCAAGGUAUCAGAAUUUUUUCAAUCACAUAUAAUUAUGAAUUAAUAAAUAAAUAAAUACUUUCUAAUAUUAUUCUAUCUAUCUGUAAUUUAUAAAAACAGGGUGGUUUAGCUGGUAGGUGGUGGUUGGUAACAAAGUAAAAAGGUAGAAUUGGAAUUCGGCCGGGAUAUCAGGUAAGUUAAAAGAUUAUCCCGUCUUUCUAGGAUUUUCAAGUUAAAUGUGUAGUUAAUCAGGUUUGGUAUGUUGUUAAUCAACAUUACAUACAUGCGAGUUAGUGAAAAAAAAUGGUAAGAAAAAUAUACAAUUUUCCUUUUCUUCUUUUUAAAGGUAGAAAAUGACAUUAAAGUGUACUUAUGUAUUAAGAAAAAUUCACACAAUUUUAGAUAGUAAGACAUUUAUAAGAUCAUAAUGUAAUUAAUAUGAUAGAUUUCAAUCUGAAAAAUUGAAUAUAUGAGAACUAUAAAUAAAUAAGUGGUUUAAGUUAGCCCAAAAGUCUACAUUACAAUUUACUUUGCGGUAGAUAUGACACAGUUGGAAUGUAUAGUUACAAUAUAUAACUUCUAAAACUGAAUAACAAGAAUAACGUGUUUAUGGUCCAACGCAUUAGAGACCGAUAAUAAGUUCUAUUUUAUGAUACUGAUUUACCAUGUUUUCGGCAGUAUAAAUAAUUUAUUUCAUAAAAACUUACUUAUUUACAAUAUUUGUUAGUGUACUAACAUGAAAUGCCGAUUGAAAGAAUCAAAUAGUUAUUUUAUAGGAUUCACACCAAGAAAAGGGAUCAUAUAAUGAUGGAGGUUGUGUUUGAAUGAAGCUAAUCUGAUCUGUGAAGGAGGCAGAGUAACAACAAAGCAAAACAGUACAAGGGACUGUGGAACUGAGGAAGGAAGGAAACAAACAAAACAAAAACUUGGAGUUUGAAAUUUUGAAUUUGUAGCGCGUGGGAGAGGCCCCCACAAAUUCAACUGCCGGCGCGUGAACGGCGUGAUCAAAGCUAAAAAGAGAAAAGUUUGAAUUUUGUCAACACAUGAUUAGUGGAGACUUGGAUGAUGAAUCAAUUAUUAAUGCAAAUUUUUGCAUCGUACUUUAUCGAGAACCCUAGAUGGCUAAGAAAGCUCAACCUUUGUCGAUCCUCCGUCGAGCCAUAUCUCAUCUUCGGCACCAACAAUCAGUCAGCUCUGAGUGACUGGUAUGCCACAUUAAACCCGAUGUCCGGCCAGCUGAGGUCCUAGCCUCCUUCGGUGGUAGUUUAAUAAGAAUGGUUUUCAUUCAUGUUUGGUAGGUUUAAUUUUAAGUUUCGAAUUAUUUUCUUGUCAGUUUUUUCCUGUUAGUUAGUUUCUUAAUUUUGCUUUCACCAAUGGAUUUGAUUGCCUGCUAGGUUGGAGAGAAAGGUUUGAGAUCACUUAUUCAUAAGGAUCAGCGAUUCAUGUAGCCUUGUCCGCAAGGACUACACCUCUGAUGGGGUAUUUUGUAUGCUUCUACAUUAUUAUAUUUUGGAAAUACAAGAGUUGAUGAUUGCUUGUCAAAAAAAAUAUUAAUGCAUUUCUUUCAACUCCAAUUGAAACUAAUAAAUUACGAAUUUCAAAUUGAGCUCAAAUUGAAUUCAUUCAAUAUUCUCAAUUAAGAUUGAGAUUGACUUGUCAAUGUCAAUUAACAUUGUUUAGAGUGAGCUUCAAAUUCGACUUGAAUUCGCCUAAACCCCCAAAAAAUCAAACUUGAACUUGGUAAAGUUCAACUCGAUCGGCUCAAUUAGUAAACCACCUUAGAUUUUAGUAUUUUGUCAUUGUAAAAUCAUCUACAUCCCAUAAAUUGUUUAACAAUUUGUAAUUGUCACAUCACCAACUUUAACAAUUGACUUUUUCAAUAUUUUUUUAAUCACUUGCGUCCCUAAAAUCCUCUAAUAAUUUCUUAUAUUUAGAAAAUGUUCCAAUAUGCGUAUGUCACUACAAGAAAUCAGAUAUCUAACAACAACGGUUUUACAGCGGCCCGUGUAGCCGCUGUUAGAAAAUCUUAACAGCGGCAUCUUAAUAGCGGCCCUUGUAGCCGCUGUUAAAUGGAACACCUUAACAGCGGCCACUAACCCGCUGUUAGGAUUUGCAGUCUAACAGCGGUCAGCGAUCACUAACUCGCUGUUAGGAUUCAUUAUAAAAACCCAACAAUCUCCAUGUCUUAUGUGACAUUACUAAUGAAAUUGCUAAUUUAGCAAUCUUGUUAUUUAACAAUCACUUUUACAUUCUAACGAAUUGGCUUUUAUAUUAUUUAUUAAUAAAAAAAUAAAGAUGUAAAUGUUCUAAUAGGCCUACUCAUACCUUGGGGGCAUCUCCAACUGUCUCAUCAUCACAGCUUGACAUAUGUGAUCAUAUCAUCAACAACUUGCCAUAAACUUGAUUAAACUUCUAACUGUCAUUAUUAAUCCAUUCCUUCCUUAUCUUUCUGUAGUUUUAUUUAAUGUAGUGAAUGUUUUCAAACAAAUAUAUAAGAGAAGUGGUUGGAGUGGUUCAAACUGAUGGAGUGGUUACUUCGAUGUCAGGCAACCUCAGAAUCAGUGAGUACUAAUUAAAAACUACAGGGGAUGAUUUAGACGUAUUAAUUUGUGACAUUGAUAUAUGUAUGUCGACUACCUCACCAAUCAACACAUCCAACAAAUUAAUUUUGUAUUCAGCUUUCUGAACAACCCCCAACUCUUAUCAUUUGCCAUUCCCAUUUGAUCGAUGCUAUCAAUUCUUUUCCAGACAGACUAUAGUUUGAGCAUUCUCAUACAUCCGCUUGGACAAAAGUUCGACUGGUAAGCGCGAAUGGUUUUUUACGUAUUUAGCGGGUUCAUUUAAUUUCUCACAAAUCAAUUACAACAUCAACGUCCCUUUUGUAUUUGGGAAUAACAAUUGGGUUUGCAAUUGGAUUUCCGUCUUAACAUCUUUUAGUUUAGUAUGACUUGUCGGCGGAUUUCAGCGACAUGGCAUUUUACACGUCACCUUUCUCGAACCCCUAAUUAGACCGAUUGAACCGACUUUGAAUGACUCAACCAAACUGGUUUGGUUUACCUUUUAACCCUGUAACUGUUCAUCGUCUUCCACAAACACCCAAAUCGCCUUCUUCGAUCACUCCGCCCUCAUUUUGGAACAAUUUGAUGCCCAAAUUGAAUCACUUCUUACAUGGACUGACGAAUUAAGUAUGACACCCCUCAAUAAAAAGACAAAAAAAAGGACCUCCUCAUACACUGCUCGUAUGCUCCUUAAUCCGUCUCUCUAGCUCAGCCUCUCUUCCUAUUCUUUUAUAAAAAGACGAGUUCUUUGAAAUCAAUGUCAAUACUGUGAUGAUAUUAUUAACAUUGUGCUGACAGUUAUAAUGUUUGAACACUAUUAAUAAGUCAUUUGGGAGACAUAUUUUUUACAUACGGAGAUAUAUGAAAUUUAAAUCGUUUAAUAAGUUCAUGUGCAACUUUAUUCCUUUAUCUUUUAAUAUAUUGAAAAUUAAAACUCUCCCAAACUUUGAAAAGGCCUUUAUAUAUCCGGAUAAUUUCCCCGAACUUCGUGACAUCUUCCUCUAUACCUGCUAGCGCCUACAUUGUAGUAAGGGAAUCUCCUUCGAAGGUAACCCGCUUCAGGCCCAUUGAGAGACACCAACAAAUGGUUUCAAGGAUCGCUGCUAUUUCUCCUACCUUCACCGACCACACUCCGUUCGCGUUAUUAUUUAUUUUUUAUAUAUAAAUAAAAAAAAUUAAAAUUGUAGCAAUGUGUCUAGGUAAUAUUGCUAAUUGACUUGAAUUAGUAAAUAAUCUUUUAUUUCUAACAAUUAUUUAAAUAUGCUACAUCAUCCUCCAUAUCACUUAAUAAUUAUUAAAUAAUUAAGAACGUAGAUACUUAAAGUUGUAUUUAUGGGUUUCGGAUUUAUGCACCUAAAGGUAUAAUACCAUAAAGAGAGUGUUUGUAUGUUUGGCUGCAAUUAUCGAAAUCUAUCAAAGAUGGGCGGGGCGGAGUGAUUGAAGAAGGCGAUAUGGGUGUUUGGGGAAGAUGACGAAUAGUUGCACCUUGCAAGGUUAAAAGGUAAACCAAACCGGUUUAGUUGAAUCAUUGAGAGUCGGCUCAAUCAGCUUAAUUAGGGAUUCAUGGAAGCUGACGUGUAUAGUGUUACGUUAUCGAUAUCUGCUAACGACUCAUGCUAAUUGGGCCAAACUAACAGACGAAACCCAUUUCAGACCCAAAGUUUAUUUCCAAAUACAGAAAGGGACUUUCGCCAUGCAAUCGAUUUGUGUGGGAUUAAAAUAAAUUCGCUAAUUACGUAAGGGACUAUUUAUAUUGAUUAUUUUACAAAAGUUUUAUAAGAGUCAACGUUAUUGGUUAACCGUUUAGGAGUUCGACUCCCAAAUACAGGAGUGGAUCGCUUAAUGACUUUUGGACGUCCGAGCUCAUAGGCCCCAUUAGAUUUAGACCUUGUUUGGUAGAAGGAAUUUAAAAAUCAUGUAUUUUGAUUAAAUAGCAUAUAUUUAAAAUGUAAGAGAUUGAUAGUAGGAAUUUUAACAAAUCCUUUAUUUGGUAUCUAUGUUAAAGUGGGAUUUUAAAAAUGUAUAUUGGGAUGGGAGUUUAAAUCUUAUCUAUAUUAGUAAGAUUUGAGAUCCUUACAAAUAGGGUUGGAAAUCGAGAUGGGUUCGGGUACCCAUUUCUGUAUUGAGCGGGUACUCAUACCCGAAAAUAAAGUGAAACUGAAGCCAAAUCCUGAACACGUUCAGGGUUCGGGUACCCAUACACUCGUGGGUUAGGGUUCGGGUACCCGUCAAUACCCAAACAAACAAAUCAACAACAUAAAAAAAGAUAAACUACAAAUUUUUACUCAUAUAUCGGAUUACUAACUUACAAAAUUUAUUUACAUUCUAAUUCUCAAUCAACCAAAAUAAUAAAAUUAUGAUAAAUUACUUACGCUCCAUAUUUAGCCCAAUAACUUUGAUAAAUUUUGGGUAUAGUAGUAAGGUUUGUUAAUAAUUGGUGUUUCGGGUACCCGUCGGGUAUACCCAAAUAGGUAUCCGCAGAUAGAAGAUUAUGAUAAUUCUCAAAUACAUGAAUUUUGAAAUAUAUAAUUUAAAAUUAUCCCAUACCAAGCAAGGCCUUAAUCAGUAGUUAGGUCAAUGUUUACCUGCAUAUAUAAGUGAUGGGAUCUAAAUAUUGAUAACUACUAUAUAAAACCAAUAUAAACCUUCUCACAAUAAUUCAAGUUAUAUUAGGAUAGAAUAGUUUCUGACAUUAGCGAAUUAACUCAAAUUGAUGGUUACGUCUUGCUCUCAAUGACCACAUAAUCCAACGGUCUAUGUGGUACGUCUUGGUCAGGACGGAAUUUUCAAAAUGAAGGGUAUUUUUCGGAUCAAAGUGAAAAUCGAGCCUGAAUUGAAGGAAAAAACUAUUUCUCCUCUACUCCUACUGUAACAAGGAUUCCACAUAUAGAAAGAAAUACUAUUGCUAAAUGUUCAUUUGCAAGUUAAGAAUCAUAUUUUUCAGAAAAAAAGUCGAUAAUAUCAAUUAGCUUACAUACAACAUACUUAAUAUUAAUAACGUAAAUUAAGAACCAAAUUGAGGUAUUGUCCCUUUGAAGAUGGGUACUUGAAUUCAAUAUUAUGUUUUGUUUAUUGUUUAGUUAUUAACAUGAAUAAAAUAAGUAAUAGGAGUUAACAAAAUUUUAUAACUUAUACAAAAAGUAGUGAGAGAAGAAAAGGCACAAUUUCAAUAAACAAGAAUGAUAAAUUUCGAAUAAAUAUGACCAACAAUGAAAAAGUUUAAUUAUUUUUAGAGGUCUUGUUUGUCUGAAAAUUUUCAAAUUCUCAAAAUUAUAAAAUAACUGCCAAUUUAUAGAGAGUGUUUUUACAUUUUUUAACUUUCAUUUCGUAAUUCUAAAAUUAAGAGUUUAAUUUGUAAUCUAGUUCUAAUUUCUAAAAUUCUUUUAUUAUUUUAGAAUUCAAAUUGUAACUUUAAUUUUUUAAAUUUAAAUAAAACAAAAUGAUUAUUGAAUCUAAAUUAUAUUUUUUAUUUUAAAUACAAUUUAUGUGUUAUAUUUUGUAAAUUAAUUGUAGCUUGAUAGUCCGAUGGGCAACCCGAACCAACCCGUGAUCCGCCCGACCCGAAACACGAUGAACCCGUGACCCGACGAACCCGUGGCCCUACAAACUCGUAACCCGCGAACCCGUAACCCGACUAACUCGUAACCUACUAAUCUGACCCGUAACCCACCCAAACCGCCCGCUCUCUCUCAUUAUAAAUAAGCAAGCUAAACCCUACUAAACAGCGACUGAGAAUCAACCAAACGCUACUUUGCUGCGGAUCUGCUCAUCUCGUCCGUCGCCGCGUUAGCAACAACUCUACCUGAUCUUCCCCACCAUGGAUGCAGCAGCGGCAGCUGAUGAGGACUCGCUCCGCCGUGCUCUCGCGGAAAAGCAGUCCGCAGUGGAAGUGCAGGGGGACAAGGUCCGUGCCUUGAAAGCUGCUAAAGCCGACGUGUCAGAGAUCGAGUCUGCGAUCAAAUCGCUGAACGCGCUGAAGCUGGAGAAGUCGUCCGUCGAGAAGCAGCUUUCGUCUGGCGACGUAAGCUCUUCCAGGGAGGCGUUCCGUCAGGCAGUCGAGAACACUCUUAAACGGAAACAUUUCUACUUUCCGUCUUACAAGAUUUACGGAGGUGUUGCUGGUCUCUACGACUAUGGACCUCCUGGUUACGAUGUGGAGUUGAAUGUCCUCGCGCUCUGGCGCCAGGUGAAAUUUGCUUAUCGAUUUUUGUUGUUGUGCGUUGAUAAUUGCUAUUUUUUUCGAAUUAUUGAUUCGAAACGAACCGAGUUCCGAGACUCCUGUAGAUUGUAGAGCUAGAUGUGUAGAAGAACGCAAUUUUCGAAGCUCGAUUCCUGGACUAUUUGAAUUCGGGGAAUGCAUAGUAUCUUGGAUGCUAUGAAAUUGGGUAACUCAUGAUACAAUGAACUAGAUUACAAAACAUAACUUUGUAAAUCAGCAAUUUAUGAUUUCGGAGAACGAAUGAGAUUAUAGCAUUAGGUUAGUAUUAUGAACUAGUCACCAUGUUCUUCUUUUGCUGUUAACUUCGAAAUUUGUACCUCUUCCCUUGCUUUUCUGGUUCAUCCACUGUUUUCCUUCUUUGUCAGCUUCGUUUUAUAUGAAAUGAACGUAAUUGAGGAGGUUGACUGCUGAUAAUUGUAAUGAGGAUCGAGUAAUCCUGAACUGUAUGAUGAUUAUUUUCUAUGCUGUUUCAGCAUUUUGUGUUGGAGGAGGACAUGUCGGCAGUGCGCUGCACAAGUGUAACACCAGAGGUAGUACUCAAAGCAUCAGGUCAUGUGGAUAAAUUCACAGAUCUCAUGGUUAAGGAUGAGAAAACAGGAACCUGCUACCGAGCUGAUCACUUGCUCAAGGACUUCUGCAAUGAGAAGCUUCAGAAAGAUGUUACCUUAACUGCGGACAAGUCGAAAGAACUUAAACAUAUACUUGCUGUUUUGGAUGAUCUCUCUUCUGAGGAGCUCGGUGCCAAGAUCAAGGAGUAUGGCAUUACAGCUCCAGAUACAAAAAACCCGCUUUCAAAUCCCUAUCCAAUCAACUUGAUGUUUCAAACUUCCAUUGGCCCCUCAGGGUUGAGAUCCGGGUAAGGCCAUUUUUUCUGUAUGGCAGUCUUUAAUUUUUAUUCUUGCCUUGGAAGGCUACUUUCUGUUUGAUAACAGUAUAUGUUCAUAAUCAUUCACCUUGCAGCUUCAUGCGUCCUGAAUUGGCACAAGGGAUAUUUGUGAAUUUCAUGGAGUUGUACGAAUACAAUGGGAGAAAACUUCCGUUCGCUGCUGCUCAGAUUGGCCAGGCCUUUAGAAAUGAGGUUACCAGCUCACAUGUCCCCAUCCUUUGUGCAAAGACUACAUUUUACUAUACUGCUUAACGUUCAAUAUUUUACUACAUUGUGUUUCACGUUUAAUUUUGUGUUCUGGGUGGUGAUCCUGCUAAAUUCACAGAUUUCUCCCAGACAAGGCCUACUGAGAGUUCUGGAGUUCACAUUAGCAGAGAUUGAGCACUUUGUCGACCCCGAAGACAAGAAACACCCAAAGUUUGCACAAGUUGCAAAUCUAGAGUUCCUGAUGUUCCCUAGGGAAGAGCAGAUGUCUGGGCAGUCAGCAAAGCUAAUUCAACUUGGUGAUGCGGUAUCAAAGGUCAUGAUCAUACUUUGUUUUCAUUCCUUGUAAAUUUUUUGUCAUCUAUCCCAGUUUUCCUCUUCCUCACAUCCUUUUCUGUAUGUGCAUUCAGGGUAUUGUCAACAACGAAACUCUUGGAUAUUUCAUCGGCAGAGUUUACCUCUUCCUAACUCUACUCGGUAUCGACAAGAACCGGUUACGAUUCCGGCAGCAUCUUGCAAAUGAAAUGGCACAUUAUGCUGUCGACUGUUGGGAUGCAGAGAUCGAAUGUUCAUAUGGUUGGAUCGAGUGUGUUGGUAUUGCAGAUAGGUCUGCAUUUGAUCUGCGUGCCCAUUCGGUGAGAAACUAAUUUAUUUUUCUCAUGUACAUGUGACUACAAGCAUUCGUUUGUAAUGUUCUGUACUUUUGUACAUGCUGAUAUCUCGUUUCCUCUUGUAUUCAUGUAUUAUUAACAGGAAAAGAGUGGUGUUGCGCUUGUUGCCGCUGAAAAGUUUGCAGUACCUCGAGAAGUCGAGGUAUCGCCUCUCUCUUGUUUCCAAUAUCAAAAGCUUUAGUACGAUUCUACAUCAAUAAUUGAUCUUCUGGUAAAUGCUUCCAGGAAUUGGUAAUUACGCCAUUGAUGAAGGAGCUUGGCCGUGCAUUUAAGGGUAACCAAAAGAACAUCGUUGAAGCCUUGGAGGUGAGUUGAAUUUGGAUUCACGCAAUGUCCAUGAAACCAGUAGAACUAACUGCUUAAUGUUUAAUGAUAACACCAUUAAAGGAACAUUCUAAUACGACCAGCCGGUAUUAUACAGGUCUCAAACAUGGGUUUGAGUUCUUGACUUGAAUUAGGAUUACAGCAUUAAUGUUCCUGAAACCAUACCAAAAUGAAAGCUAUGCAACUAACUGUUAUAUUUGUUUGUCCCUUUUGUGUGAUAUAGGCAAUGCCAGAAAAAGAAGCCAUGGAAAUGAAGGCUGCUCUCGAAUCCAAAGGGGAGACGGAGUUGUACGUCUGCACUCUCAGCAAAAACGUUGUCAUCAAGAAGAACAUGCUUUCUAUCUCUAAGGAGAAGAAAAACGUACACCAAAGGGUCUUCACACCUUCAGUCAUUGAGCCAUCUUUUGGCAUUGGACGCAUCAUAUACUGCCUCUUCGAACACUCCUUCUACACCAGGCCUAGCAAAGCCGGGGACCAACAGCUGAACGUGUUCCGUUUCCCUCCUAUCGUCGCCCCGAUCAAAUGCUCCGUGUUCCCCCUCGUCCAGAACCAACAGUUCGAGGACGUCGCCAAAACCAUUUCCAGGUCGUUGACUGUUGCUGGAAUCUCCCACAAGAUCGACGUCACAGGUACCUGAACUAAUCAAUCUUUUGCUCAUUCUUCGUAUCGAACUCCAUGAUAAAUGAUUUAUUGCCACAAGAAAAGACUACUACAGAAGAAACAAAAACGUUUAGAAACUUGGCAGAGACUCUAAUCCCCAAAGUGAACAUUGAUCCGCAUGGUUCAAUAUUCAAUCAUGUAUCUUACGAUUUGGCUACAUUGCUGUUACAGGUGCCUCGAUAGGGAAGCGGUACGCUAGAACAGACGAGUUGGGUGUACCCUUUGCCAUCACGGUUGACUCAGCUGAUUCGGUUACAAUUAGGGAGAGGGACAGCAGGGAUCAGAUCAGAGUGAAGCUGGAAGAUGUGGCGUCAGUUGUGAAGUCGCUAUGUGAUGGCCAGACCACAUGGGAAUUGAACAACAAGUUGGUUGAAGAGAAAAACAAGUUGGCUGAAGAGAAUCACCAACUUCAAGAGAAACCUGCUCAAUUGGAGGAUAAUGUAACCGAGCUUAAGACUAGACUGGAAGCAAGCGAGGCUAGACAUGUGAUAGCGGCUGCGAAAAUUGCUGAGCUUGAGAAGUUGUUGCACGGAAUGCUGGCUAAAAAUGAAGGAGGCUUCUGAAAUAACUAGUAAAUUUUCAUACUUGUUGGAUCUUCUUUAUCAAAACGGUUUUUCUCAUUGUCUUUUUUUAAGUUACUGGUCACUGUUUCUUUUAUUUGAUCUCCUGGUCUUGCAACAGAAUUUAUAAUGCAGCUAGCUUCCAGUUUCCAGUACUGCUUGUUAAUUAGAAUUUAAGAUUAACGCGGCCCCUUUUUUUCAGUUUCCAGUACUGCAUGCUAUUUUAUAUUUGUCAAUAUGAAAUUGAAGUUUGAAAAGCAUUCAUUCAAUGAUAACUUCAUAAUGGAGAUGUGAUGAAAUAUCUGCAAUUUGGAUUGUGGUGGUAAUUUGAUAAUAGGCGAUAAGUUUUGGAUUCUUUUAGUUAUUAGUUCUCGAGUUUACCCAUUCUAUAUAAAAGAAUAUAAAUUAUUAUUGAAUAAAUAGUUUUUGAUUUUUUNNNNNNNNNNNNNNNNNNNNNNNNNNNNNNNNNNNNNNNNNNNNNNNNNNNNNNNNNNNNNNNNNNNNNNNNNNNNNNNNNNNNNNNNNNNNNNNNNNNNNNNNNNNNNNNNNNNNNNNNNNNNNNNNNNNNNNNNNNNNNNNNNNNNNNNNNNNNNNNNNNNNNNNNNNNNNNNNNNNNNNNNNNNNNNNNNNNNNNNNNNNNNNNNNNNNNNNNNNNNNNNNNNNNNNNNNNNNNNNNNNNNNNNNNNNNNNNNNNNNNNNNNNNNNNNNNNNNNNNNNNNNNNNNNNNNNNNNNNNNNNNNNNNNNNNNNNNNNNNNNNNNNNNNNNNNNNNNNNNNNNNNNNNNNNNNNNNNNNNNNNNNNNNNNNNNNNNNNNNNNNNNNNNNNNNNNNNNNNNNNNNNNNNNNNNNNNNNNNNNNNNNNNNNNNNNNNNNNNNNNNNNNNNNNNNNNNNNNNNNNNNNNNNNNNNNNNNNNNNNNNNNNNNNNNNNNNNNNNNNNNNNNNNNNNNNNNNNNNNNNNNNNNNNNNNNNNNNNNNNNNNNNNNNNNNNNNNNNNNNNNNNNNNNNNNNNNNNNNNNNNNNNNNNNNNNNNNNNNNNNNNNNNNNNNNNNNNNNNNNNNNNNNNNNNNNNNNNNNNNNNNNNNNNNNNNNNNNNNNNNNNNNNNNNNNNNNNNNNNNNNNNNNNNNNNNNNNNNNNNNNNNNNNNNNNNNNNNNUUUGAUUUCGUACAUAAUGUAGAUGAGGCUUAUAUAACCUUUAUAUAAGAAUAAUACAAUAUAUUAGUUCAUUAUAUUUAUUUAGUUAUCUUAUCAUAACUAAUUUUGGAGGGUGAUUAUGAUUCUUGUUGGUGGUUUGUUGGCAUGUGAGAUGUUUGUGUUGAUGAUGAAUAGAUAUGUUAGUAGUUUAGAUGUAAUGUAUUGGUGCAUAGCUUGUCUUCAUAAUUAUUGAAGAUGAAAGUAAAAUUGAAGAUUUACUUUUUAACACUCUUUUUUGAAAUUUCGACUUUGCAUUUCGAGCAUGUUUUGAAAUCGUUGCAACAUGUCUUUUGGAAGAGGUGUUGUACUUGUUUGUCAUGUUUUUGGUGUUCGUCUUCGCUUUAUAAAUCUUUUUGAUGUUAUGGACCUUUUUAUGUUGAGGUUGUUUGAUCGAUUUUUUCUUUAGCUCCUCCUUCAUUACAACAUCUUGUUCUUUGGGGGCAAUGAGGUUCAAUGACUACUCUACCACAAUCAUAUAUUUCUGCCAAUGAUUGCAUCUUUUUUGGCGGUGAUUCGGACGAUUCGUUUGAGCUUUUUCCGUUUGAAUCUGAGUUGGUUGGAUUUGUUGGUUGAACUGGUUCUGAAUCUGGAUCUGGUUGCGUGUGAGUAAUCACGGUCUGUCGUUUAUCUACCUUUGCUUUCGUCCCAGUUCCAAGUAGCAUCUUCAUCAAAUUUAAUGUCUUUGGUGAUGAUGACAUUUUUUGUUGUGAUGUUGUACACCUUAAAGUCUUUGGACUGAGAGUUGUAGCCGACGAAAAUUCCUGGUUCCGCCUUGUCUUCCAGCUUGUUUCUCUUUUCGUCCAGAGUAUGCGCAUAGCACAUUGAGCCAACUACCUUCGAAUGCUUUACUGUUGGUUUGUGUCCGCUCCAGACUUCAAUUGGAAUUUUUUCUUUAAGAGCUCAUGUUGGAAGUCUGUUCAACAAGCAAACAACUGUGUUGACUGCUUCCGUCCAAAAUGAUUUUGGUAGAUUUUUUUUCAGCUAGCACGCACCUCGUCAUCUCCCUUACGGUUCUGUUCUUUCUUUCAGAGACGGCGUUUUGAGUGCAGCGUACUGUUGUCUGCUGCUCUAUUCCUGCAUCUGCAUAAAACUUUUCAAAUUUGUUAGAUUUGUAUUCCGUUCUUCUUUCUGAGCGUAAAAUUUUGAUCUUCUCCCUACUUUGAUUCUCGGCCAUGGCUUUGAAUCUUUUGAAGAUUGAGAAGACUUCAGAUUUGUGCCUCAUAAAGUACACCCACGUCAUUUUGGUGAAGUCAUCAAUAAACAAUAUGAAAUAUAUCUUUUUUCUUUUCCCCUACUUAUUUGUUUUCCUCCCUCGAUUCUCAAUUGCAGGAUGCUCUUAUUCACUCUCUUCGACUUGAAGUUAGCUUUACCUAUCCAAUUACUGGAUUCGCUCAACUCGUAACUGGCAACCCCAUCUCAAAUGUUCUUAAAAAUUGUGUGUUUGUUGAUUUUUAUUCGCUGCCUGUGUGCUUUUGUUGCUUGUUCUUCAGUUGUUAAUCAACGAUGGUGUAGAUAGAUGUGCCGAUUUACAGGAGAUGAACUGUCGGCCUUUAGUUAAUCAAGAGGGGAGUUCAACUGAGUAUGCAAACUUACUCGGUGCAAUCUUUGGAGCAAAUGCUCAAUUCAUUAUUCCAAUCGAAACUUGGAAGGUAUGGAAGCUUUAAAACUAGAAGUGUCAGUGACAAAUUCAAUAAUGGCUUAGUUAUCCUUCAUUGCACUGCCUCUGGAAUUGUGUGAUCUGUUUGUUGGGUCAAAUUCAUUCUACAAUUCUAGGUGAGUAAACCAUAUUUUGCGUGGAAGUCCAUUUGAUAAACCUUGCCAGUAUAUAGGAUGCUGUUUGCUGUACAUAUACUUAAUAAGAUGAAAGUGUUUAUAACUGGAACUGGAAGAUGCCUGAGACCUUUAAAUUAUCAUAGCAACGCCAGAAGCCUGAAACCUUAGGCUGGCUCCCAUUCAUUCUCUAUUUGCUCCACUACUGCUCUUUUUUUGGAUUUAUAUCGUUAUUGCCCUUUUCAGCUCCUAGAGAAGAUGAGCUGUCAACAAUAGGAGACUUCACUCAUCGCUGCAAAUGUGGAGAUUUCCUCCAACACUCUGCAUUUAGAUGCUCUUCUUUUAGUGUGCCCUUUUUUGGUAUCCUAGGAGUAUUAGGUUAAACUUUAGUUGAUCACCGGAAUCUCCCAGAUGCUUUUCAAACACUUCCUAACACCAUCUCUCAUGUCUCUCUUAGAAAAACAGCACUCUUAGCUCUUAACAUGUAAGCCCUGUCGCAGUUGUUCUUGGUAAGUCCCUCUGACCAUGCGAUUUUUAUCCUUAUUGUUUCUUAUAUACCUAUGCAUAUAAAUGACCGUCUUCUACCUGUGUUUAAUUUGCUCGACAUUUACCAAGUUGAAAUUUGUCUUUAAACUGAUGAGAGAUAGACGGAACAACGUUUGCAGCUGUGUCGUCUCUAUCACUGAAGAAACUGACACCCUCACCAUCUAAUCAUCUAUAUAUGUAUGUUGUUCUGUGUGCAGGUCAUUCCAGUUUCUUCGGCCUCUUAGUGUGGUCUAAUUCCUUUAGUUGACGAGUUUGGUUUUCCAGUAUGCGUGCCUCUUUGUUGAUUGAAACCUAUACAAAAGAGCCAUUCAGGAGCUGGACUUUAAGUUAAUUCUUCCCUUUUACCGCUAACUUACAUUAGUUACGUUGCAACUUCUUCUUUUUUUCAUAUACAUGGUGACGCAUGUCAACUAAUGGAGUCUGAUGGGAGGACAACACCCCAAGUCGACAUUGCUCCAGCCUCUAGGGAAGCAAAUGGGUGUGUUGAGCUUUUAAAUUAUCAUUACUGGUCAACUAUAUGAUAGUUUGAAUUAUAUUUAUCGAAUCUAUUUGUACCUAAUAUUAUAUUUUUAUAUUACAUUUCAAAGCUAUAUGAUUAGUAAAAUACAAGUUUAUGUUUCCGCGGCAUCGUGUGGCCUUUCAAUCUAGUUGGAGAUGAAAGUAAAGUUGAAAAUUCACCUUUCAACAUUAAUAAUAUUUGACUCUCUUAUUAAGAGUUUAUUUUAAAUUUAUUGGAGCUUUAUUUUGAUUUUAUUUAUGAGAGUUUUAUUUUGAGCUCACAUAUUACCUUUUAUGGGUUAUGUAGUAUUUUCCAUUCUUCAAUUGACAUGAUUUAAAUUAUCUCACGCUUUCAUUGUGUUAAUAAGUUUUCUAUAACAAAAGAAAAGUUCAUUUAUCUUCAUUUAUUCUCUAAAAUUUUCUACAACAUCACGUGCGGAUAAUUCUAGUACCGGUAAAUGGAUAACCGCGGGUAUCUUAUUAUACAAAUAUGCAUUCCAUGUCUCAAACUCGUAUAGAUAAGCGGAUACCCAAAUUUGUGUGGGUUCAAACUUACCCUAAAUCCGCAAUUUUAAUCCAACUCAUUUUAACUGGUGGACCGAAAAGAUGAAAUGAAAUACAGAAUGAAACACAUUUUAAAUAUGCCACUAUUAUCUCCAGCCUUCAUUCUUCAGAAUUUCUUUGGGGAUUCGGAUCAGAGUGAAGCUAAAAGAUGUGGCGUCAAUUGUGAAGUUGCCAAGUGAUGGCCUGACCACAUGGGAAGUUGUUUGGUCGAGGUUUCAUCAUCAGUCCACUGGAUCACGCACACGCCAAUUAAUCUUUCUGGUUUUUCUAUUUUGUAAUUUGAUGUUGUUAACUUCGAAUAUUCUCACAUAUGGUCUCUAGAAGAGUCUUUAUGUGCCUGGAAAAAAUCUGUGCUAGCGAUGGUGAUGAUCGUGUUUGGAUACUUUUUUUUAGCCUGAUUUCGAGUUCAUGUAUAUUGGCGGUUUGUCCUACCAUAUUGGCAGUUGAUCUUCCAAUGUGGUGUCCGAACUCACGAUAAAAAAACAAUGAUUUGUCCUAUCAUAUUAGCAUCACAUUGGAGGGUUUAAACCGCUAAUACAAGAAAAAAACCUUCCAGUUUGGCCUGGUUUCAGUGUAGUGGUGGGGCUUUUGGUAAUCAAGAAAUUGUAGAACACAUAUAAAGAAAAGAACCAUUCAAUUCAAAACUCCCUCGAGGCCAAACUAUUUUUUAAAACAAUGUGUUGUAUAGUUAAUUGAUUAAUUAAAACGGUUCCUUCUAGUACCUUAAUUGUAUAUAAUUUUCUAAAAACCAUAUGCAUAUAUGUAUCAUGUAUGUACACCAUCCAAUGUGACGUUAAGUACUAUUAUUUUUUUAAAAGAAUGACAUAAAACACGUAUAAAAAUAUGCAAUUAGGGACUUAUUUAUGCCUGCAUUAUCCUCAUACAAUGAACUUUUCAAACCACUACACGAGCUAAUUAGUUAUCUAUAAGCCUAAAUUAAUUAAGACCUUGACUUAUAUUAAGAAAAUAAACUUGAUACACGUUUCUAUAGACUUGUUUUUUCUCGGAUGAAAAAUCGAUUAGUUCAGAUUUGUGUUUACUUUUUAUUAUUGGGAAGAAGAAGACCAGUCGAACAUGAGAAACCUUAGACUAAUGUAUGAUGAACAUGCAAACUAUAUAAUUUAGUCCAAUUAAAAUUUAGAACUUCGAUAAUAUGCAUUUUUCAUAUGAUAUAGAAGAUUCAAAUGUAUGUAAUUUAAUCGAAAAAAAUUAAAUUUCUAAUGUAUGAAUGUAAUUUUGACAUCAAAAGGUAAAAUUCUAAAAUAGUUGUUCGAAAUCAUAAGUGUUCUUUAAUAACCUCAUUCAACGAUUUAAGUGACUUAUAAUGGUUUACAAUCGACGUAUAGGACAAAAGAACUCCACAUAGAAACAUAAAAACUUCGACCUCAUUGGUGAAACUAAAUGAUCAUAGAGAACCAAAGUUUUGUUCAUAUGAUCCCUUUCCUCCUUUCCCAUCUUUUCACAAUAAUUGGGUGUGUUAAGUAAUUAGCCAAAGAAUCAAACCGAAACCCAACUUGAUCAAUCAUCUUCCCCUCUAUAUUAUAAUCAAACCUAAUUAACAACAACAAAUCAAACCGUAUGACAGGAUAAUUAAGUAUUCAUAAGUGUUCUACCUAACUACAUAUAUAAUCCAAUUUCGAAAAAAAAAACUACAUAUAUAAUCCGAAACAUACGUAAUCAAUCAAAUUAAUUAAUUAAUUACAGUUCCGAAAACAUAAAACUUAACCCGAAAAAAAACAUUCCCUCAUCGCAACCUCAACUGAAGAUCCAAAUCUCCACUGGCGGGCGCCCGCCGUUGUCGUCUUCCCAAAUCUCCGACCACCACCCACCACCGGCCGAUGAUGCGUCAAAGUAAACCCACCUUGAUCAUAAUUACCAUACAAAUAAUCCAGAUGAUCAUCACCAUUCAUAAAGCUAAUCUGAUGCGACGAAGCCGUUUGAUCCUCCUCCUCGUACACCACCACGUCACUACUCCAAGCCGGGUCGUAAACCAACCGGGCCGGGUUCGGCCCGUAAACCGACUGGAGCUGGUAGAAGUUGGCCCGCCUGGCUUGAAGCUGAAGCCGCUUCUUCCUGAGACGCUCCUUCUUGUGCGCGUUCUGGUGACCGCCCAGCGCCUGCGAGUUGGCGAACUCCUUCAUACAAUACUCGCACUCGAACUUACUACCACUAUUUCCCGCCUGCUGCUUCUUGAUCGUCCCUUCCACGCGCUUCAGCAACGGCGUCGUUUUGUCUGUGACCGUGUUGGAUGAUGAGUUCACGCUCUCGUCGGAAUGGUUCGGCUUGGUGGUUCGACUAGCGGGUGGGUUGGGGUCGAGCUCGAACUCGAAUCCGAACAGCUUGAGCUUGUUGCUGUUGUUGGUUUCGCCGGAGGAGGAGGCUGAUUCGACGGUGGAGGAGUAUUGGGUGUUUGAAAGAGUUGUUUUCAUGGUUUAGGUGAGAAGAUUUGAGUUGUGAGAUUUGAUAGAUUUGGUUUGAGAAUUGGGUGGGUUUUAUAUUUAUAGUGAGAUGGAGGGAGUAAUUUUUUAUUUUAUAAUAUGGUUUCCAACUAUAUAUGCACAUUCAUAACAGCACACGUAUGUAUAUAUAAUUUUGAAGAGUGGGGGGGAAUAUUUUUAUUGGGGUUUUUGUAAUCAUGAAAGAAAACGUACCAAAGGGUCAAAAUAUAAUUUCAUUUUUAUUUAAUAUAUAGUUUAUUAUAUUAUNNNNNNNNNNNNNNNNNNGUUUAUUAUAUUAUAUAUAAAUAGGGAAGAAAAGUCAGAUGGGAGGAAGCUCUCCCAUGCAAACUACUAUUUUCUUUUUGGGUUUCUUUUUUGUGUGGGGAAAGAAUGGUGAAAGGAAAUGCUAUUAUGUCCCUAUUUCUACAUGCUUUCAUUUCACCCUAUUACUCAUCUAUAUGGCCAUGUUUUUUUUUAUGGGUGGUUCAUUUCCAAGGGUUUUCAUUGGUAAAUGUAAAGCAAUUAAUAAUUGGUUUUGUUGGGUUUAACCGGUUCGGUUCUUGAUUGUAAUUAAAGAUGCUGUUAAACAAAAUAUAGUCACGUACGAACAAGAGAAUUACACAGAUUUAACGUGGUUUCCAAUCAUAAUUAAGGCGGAUUGAUACAGAGAAGAAAAAUAUUAUUAAUAUUAUCAGAGGCAUGGAGAAGAAGAUGUUCAAGUUGGAAGAUAUGCGGCCUGUUUAGUAAUGUAGGGGAAUUACUGGGAUUAGGGUUUUUAAAGCAAGGGGAUUUUACUAACCAUAUGGUUUUCUUGCAAACCUCGAACAGGAAACGGUAUUCCACCUCCGUCGACGACUUUGCACCUCCAUGAAAUAAAAAGUAUUACCAAACCAACACCGUCCCAAAAUAGAACAUCGACGAGUGUCAAUAUCACUAAUUAGCGUACACCAUAUCAUAACAUCUGAUAAAUUUUACUCGAAAAAGUUACCUCACCAAAAAUAGUUUUAUUAUAUUGUGGGAGAAAAGGCUUUGUAGCUUAGCUAUAGCUAGCUAGGGAAUAGCAAAUAAGGUGAUUGUUGUAUGAGAUACUAAUUUAUUAUAAAUAAUAUGACCAAUCGGUGCAUAUGUGAAUUUUAGUGUUGAAAACUAAAGUUGUGACUGUUUGAGUUUGUUUAUUAUGCGCACGGGAUUCAACUAGAUUAGCCUCUUUAAAUAUUAAAAUGGCCUAAAAUCAAAUGGAAAUGUGGAAUAAUCCCUUGGCUUAUGUGUAAUCAAGUAUUGAAUAUUAAACUAAAUGCCAAUCUUUACUCAAAUUUUGUUAAACUGCCACUUGUGCCUAUUNNNNNNNNNNNNNNNNNNNNNNNNNNNNNNNNNNNNNNNNNNNNNNNNNNNNNNNNNNNNNNNNNNNNNNNNNNNNNNNNNNNNNNNNNNNNNNNNNNNNNNNNNNNNNNNNNNNNNNNNNNNNNNNNNNNNNNNNNNNNNNNNNNNNNNNNNNNNNNNNNNNNNNNNNNNNNNNNNNNNNNNNNNNNNNNNNNNNNNNNNNNNNNNNNNNNNNNNNNNNNNNNNNNNNNNNNNNNNNNNNNNNNNNNNNNNNNNNNNNNNNNNNNNNNNNNNNNNNNNNNNNNNNNNNNNNNNNNNNNNNNNNNNNNNNNNNNNNNNNNNNNNNNNNNNNNNNNNNNNNNNNNNNNNNNNNNNNNNNNNNNNNNNNNNNNNNNNNNNNNNNNNNNNNNNNNNNNNNNNNNNNNNNNNNNNNNNNNUGAAGCUUCUCUGUUAAUUAUGUACACACACGAGACAUAGUAAUUAAUUAAUUUAUUAUUAUUAUUAAUAUCCCCCACCACCAAUGUACCAAUGGUUAUCAAAGAACACUUAAAAUAAUGGUUUAAAUUUGUCCAUCUUGACCAUGUAUUGGGGAAUGGCAUAUUAAAUUGAUUAAUUAAUGAGGGAGAUUAGGGUAGUUGCUCAAACAAACAAGGAAUAUUAAUCAAGAAGUGGGCAAUGAUGUAAGCAUAUAAUUAUACUUAAUUAAGAGUCUUCUCUCUGAGAUCUUGAGCAUAUCUUCUUAGAAGAGGGCAAAAGUAUAUAUUUUUAUUCAAAAGAAUAUGUUUCUCAGGUGAAUCAAGUCAUACUUUAUCCAUUUAUUAAGGUCAAUGUUCUCUUUAAGCCCCUAAAACUAUGUGCAUGUAGUGAAAUAGUCUGUGAACUUUGAAAUUUGUCUUUCGAUUGAGCCCCCCUAUACCUAUGAACACCUAAUGAAUGGCUAAGCCCUCUUGUCAGCUUCUCGUUAUUUUAAGUUUCGACCGCCAAUUUACCCCGACCCUUUCUGCUAUUAUCGGAUAUGCACUCGCUCAAAAACAACAUAAUCAAAAGUCUGGUGGCACUAAAACUGAGCAUAACACACGUCUUUCUCUAUAUACACAUAUUUAUUCUUCAUAAAGUCAUGCCCCUAGGCCCUAACACUUCUCUUACUAUAAAUAAACACAUCAUUCAGUCGACCAUUCUUCAAAGUGGCGUAGUUUCUCACCCUAAAUGAUCACAAGAUGCAUCUGUCACUGACAAAGUUUCCACUCCUCAUCUUUAACAGAUGUUCACCGACAAACGUCAGCUCGAGGCAUUGCCAUUUCACUCGCUAGCUCAUCCUUUUACCAAACACGGAACAUCGUAGUAGAAAAUACUCAAGAUGAUUAUUGUACAAGGACUCGGAAGUCAUAGCUCAUACUACAGGGACUCGUAUGUGAAGUGCGAAUAGUCUAGGGUCUUAAUACAACAUCUACCCCCAUUUGAUUAUACUUAGUUGGAUAUAUAAUGGGGCAUACAAGCAUUUGGAUUGGACAGUUGUUUGUAUAUAACAAGAGCCCUCAACUUUUGGGUAUAAAAUUGAAUGACCUAGUUGCAUAUUGUAGGCUAGGGGGCACAUAAUGGAAAGUUAUUAGAUUGUGUGUUGGUUUUUAAUUAUUCCUUUGUCACCAUUAGGAAAAGGUGUAACGUUGCAUCUCUAAGGCUCACUAAUUCCUAAUCCUUCGUCUAUGGUUUUCUUAUCUUUUCCAAAGUAUGACAAGUCUUCUCAAUCUAUGCUUUCAUACUCUAAAAUAAUAAUUUCAAAAAAACUCUCUUAAUUUUUGUCGAAUUUAUGUACUUUGGUAGUCACUAGCUAGCUUGAGUUUUGUGAUUUGAUUCAUUUGAUUUAUGAGUUUGUCGGGAACUUAUCUGAUUCCGCUUAUCAUUUUGAUGAAUGAAUAUAUAAUAUUUAACCAAGGACAAUACACAUGGUAUUUUUCUAUAGAAUAUGUCUUCAGGAACUUAUCGAUGUCCUGGAUAAGCACUACCAUUAGUUGCAAAAUCGAGUCCAAGCCCCAAAAUAAUUUUUCCAUCCCCGUUCAUAUAUGCCCAAUGUUACCGAAAUCAAUCUGACCUGUUCGAUUUAUUCUUAUUUUAUCGAUCUGAACUACGCUAAAAGAGUAUGGUUAAUUAUAUUUGGUAUUGUUUAUGCUAUUAUGUGGAAAUUGUAACACGUGGAAAUGAAAAUGCUGGGUCCAAUAUCACAAUGGGGGGAAUUAAUUAAACAGAUAAAUUCUCCAUAUUAUGGUGGGUAUCUAAUUUAAGUGGGUGGGUUGUUCUAAAAUGAUAAAUUCUUUUCAUGUGUUUUUGUUUCAAAGGAUGUUUAAACUCUGACAUUUUAAACUUUGACAUGAAGUAUGAGUGAAUCAAUAGAGAAAAUUAAAACAUGGACCCUACAAUAUCGGCCAACCAAAUCUUAUUGUUUCCCAUUUGAAAAUAAAAUUCUUUAUCUUGAAUUUCUUAAUAAUUAUCAUCGAGAGAAAUCCAAAAUGGCAUGUAAUACUUUUGAUCUUUUAAUCCCACCCACAAUCUAAAUGGAAACCCUCAACAUAAAGAGAACCUCAUCUAUCAAGAAUACCAGGAUUGACCACAUACCAAAGAGGUAUGCAUUUUUNNNNNNNNNNNNNNNNNNNNNNNNNNNNNNNNNNNNNNNNNNNNNNNNNNNNNNNNNNNNNNNNNNNNNNNNNNNNNNNNNNNNNNNNNNNNNNNNNNNNNNNNNNNNNNNNNNNNNNNNNNNNNNNNNNNNNNNNNNNNNNNNNNNNNNNNNNNNNNNNNNNNNNNNNGAUUUAUAGUUAAAAGUCAUGUGUUGAAAUGUAAAAGUGUGUGUAGCUAAAUGAAGUAGGAUUUGCGUGUUGUGGUCUAACUUAGCUGGAGAGAGAGAGCAGUGAUAUGCACACACCAAUACUCUUUUAAGAUUGUCAUAUUUUGUGAGAUGAUGGAUCGAGACUGGACGGUCAAAGUUGAGUACAUUUAUCGAAAAAGGAAACCGAGUUGCUGACUACUUACUUAGCUUAGUGUACGAAAUGUCCAUUGGUAUUUAUAUAAUUUACUUGAUAUUUUUUUUAAUGUAAUUUUGAUUGUGAAUGAAAGAAGGACGUGUUUGAAUUUAAAAAAGAAAGGAAGAAGCUUUACAAAAAGUCUAAUGCUCAAUGUGAUGUUGUUAUUGGAAAUUCUUGGGCACGAUUUAGUUGCUCUUAAUUAAUUUAGUCAGUUAAGCAAUCAUUAUCAAUCCAAAGCAAGAAGAGAAAGAACCAUAUUAAACUGAAUAAAAACAUGGGAAAUGAUCACAAUCUGAUUCUGGUAGUUUUCAGAGAAUGCACUGAUGUGUUUAUCUACAGAACUCUUUAGGGUUAUUUGUUUUUUUAGAUUUGAAAGAGAUUUGGUAACUGAUUUGUUGGACUUUAAUUGAAAUAUCACGUUUGGAUAUGAAAUGUAAAUGAGAUUUUGGGANNNNNNNNNNNNNNNNNNNNNNNNNNNNNNNNNNNNNNNNNNNNNNNNNNNNNNNNNNNNNNNNNNNNNNNNNNNNNNNNNNNNNNNNNNNNNNNNNNNNNNNNNNNNNNNNNNNNNNNNNNNCUCAAAAUCAAGUCAUCCCUUAAUGUAUAAAUCCUUUCCCACUUGAUAUGUUGAGUUGCACCUUCUUUAUAUAUCAAGUCCACAAAUCAGGCCUAACAUAGUAUCUAAGCCAAGCCGUAAACACAAUAUAUCAUUUUUGUUAGUAAAUAAUAUAAAAAAUCAAAUUGCCAUUAAUAUUACGAGUGGCCUAUUUGAAAUAAAAAUAUAAAAACCAAGUUUAAAUCUCUUUUUAGAACUCGAAUUAUUGAAAUACAACUGUUUUUUAUAUGAUCUCGAAAUUUUUAAUAACCGAAAUUUCUCCAUUUUAAAUUAGGGUAACUCCGAUCUACCGAUCCAAAGGACAUAAGAAACCCGACAAAACAAGAGAUGAGAUUUGUUAGCAAAUCGCAAGCAGAGAGGUCUCAAUCAUCAAAUGUUUGUCAGUAAAAGCCUAAACCCAAAGAAGUCUGCAAUGAAGUUGAUUUGUCUCCCUUCUCAAAGGGUGUUUAUACUUAAGUGGGCAUAAGUGAUUAGAAAACAAACAACCUAUAUACAGGUUUGUUUAAUGAAGUGCCGCAACUGAAAACUAAGAGCUAUAGCAGUACAAAGUUGACCCAAAACCAACCUUGUUCUAAGUUCAAACUAAAGAAACAUCCGAACUUGGACAAAAUUGAGAAUUCCCUUAUUAUUGCUGAGUUUUUAAUUAACUGUUAAUGAUGAUUUUGAUUAAAACAGAGACUGUUUAGAGCCGUUAUUUUCCAAAUCUGGCUUUUCUGUAACACAACAUUAAAAACCAAUCAUAUUUUCAAUCCAACAUUUCGUAUCAAAUGGUGACUACUAAUAUAAAACAUCGGUAAACGGGUUCGAACAUAAACCGAGUUCAAAUAGAUGAUAUAUUUGUAUUGGUCAAGUCUACAUAUGUCUGCAUGAAAAAAAUGGUGCCACACUUGUUUGAAAUGUUUAUAAAAAUUUUAGAUAAAACAAACAAGCAAGACUUUUCUUCUACACUGCAAUGAUUUUUUUUUAUUUUUAUAUAAAUGCACNNNNNNNNNNNNNNNNNNNNNNNNNNNNNNNNNNNNNNNNNNNNNNNNNNNNNNNNNNNNNNNNNNNNNNUUCAUUUAUAAUAAAAUAAAUUCAUGAUGAAGUAAUUAAUUUGGAAAAAGGGAGUGAUUUAAACAGUAAUAAAGUAAUACAAAUAUGACAUUAGCAAAUUUUGACAAAUGUGAAACAAAUCUGGUUAACAUCUAAUCAGUGGAGAAAAAAAGAUAAUUAUGAUAAUUGCUGAUUAAGGUGACCAACUGACCAUGAAAGGAUUCAGUAUUCUUCUUCUCCUAAUUAUUCUAAACCAAACUGAGUAGUUUAAUUUCUCCCCAUGGGAUGAGUACUGAUGGUCAAUUGCGUUUAUCACAAUUAACCCGCAUGAUUAAUUACAACUCCUCAGCCUUUUUCUUUUCCUGCAAACAUGAGCAUAUAUCUGUAUCUGAAUUACAAAAGAAAAAUUGAACUUAUUAAAAAUCGAGAAUUAAUGUUUCCAAAUAACAUAACGUUUUCCGUCGAAGAGAGUAGAAACAUAAUCAUCUGUAAUUAAUUUUUACGUGAUUAUAAAUAUAAAGUUUGAAUUAGUUUUAUAUUAUUUAUUAACACCUCCGAUGUAGUUAGAUAUUUGAAAAAAAAAAUUAAUUUCAAUGAUAUUAAAUUCAUUAUGGUUUCGAAAUUAGAAAUGAAUUCGAUAAUUUUGUUUAUAGUCCCUUUCCCACCCUAAGACGAAUGUUUGAAAUAAAAACAUGGUAUUCGCUCUAACCGAACACACCAUCCAUACUUGGACCAUACACUCAUGGGCUUUUUUUAGGUUGGAUUAUAGGCAAUGAUUAAUGGGUUGUUGCCCGAUGGGCUCCUAGCUAAGCCUUUUUCUAUAGAUAGUGGGCUUUCCGUCCAACUAUACGGAAGAAAAAUAGUUUUGCAUACCUAUUGAAGACUAGGACGGAAGAUGUUUGGUUUCUAACGGUGGAUGGAACGGAAUGAUGUGUUCAGUCGUUAUGUAUAGGCUUGUUUAUUGAAGUGCCGUACUGAAAAUUAAGAGCUAGCAGUGCAAAGUUGACCCAAAACUGAAACCUCGUUCCAAGUUCAAACCUCUCCAGGAAAGAAACAUCCCAACUUAGACAAAAUGCCUGAAUGAAAUGUUGAAAUGUUGCAUUUUUGUUUUAGAUGAGGCGAUUUGUUGAAAUGUUGAAAUGCUAGCAAGAACCUUUGUUUGUGCUUAUAUAUAAGCUGAUACGACGAGAAUUCUCUACCAAGGUCUGUUUUUGUUCUUUUGAAUGCUGUAGAUGAAUUGAGCAGAUCAAUGAUUCUAACUUUCUUCAGUACUUCAGUUUGGGGAGAUGGGUUACGUUUAUCUAUAGUUCCUAUUUGUUUUAAAAUGAGAGCUCUUGAUUCAUUGUGCUGGUUUCAUUCGAAGAGGCCAACGAUGAGCACUGGACUGGAAGAGCAGUAAAGGUGACAUUGUAUGAUGGCUGAAACCAAUCAUCAUAAAACCUUUGUCAAGUGAUCUCUAUGCUUGAUAAGUAUGUUUCCUUGUUAGAAUCUAAAGUAUAGUCUGUGUACCAGCAACAAUCAUCUGCUUCAUGAAUGGAAUAAAACUCGUUUUUUCUCUUGCAAUUGGUUCAGUUAAUUAGUCUGGCAACGGAUUACAAUUAUACAAGCAAAGUGCACAAAAGAAAGUAGAACAAGGAGGCAUUUCUCAAAUCAUUUCAUUCAUGUUAAACAAAAAAGGUUUACAAGAUGUAAGGAACAAUUCUCAAUCAUGUUCUAAUAACAGUAGAGCAGCUAUUGCUACCCACACUGCUACUUGAACGUUGCAAAAUGGAACUAAUCAUCUUCCUCACAGCUACAUUAGGCACAAAAUCACCAUCUCCACCAUCAAUAUUAGCCGCCGCUCCACAAGCACACGUCUUCGAUUUCUUCACAUGCUCUCUGAUGCAACCUUGGCAGAAGCUCCUUAAGCAGCAUCUCUUCACCAACACGGCAUCUCUCAUCACUCCUCUGCAUAAUUGACAAUGAAGCUCCGGCGGCAGAACCACCAUAUCACUGCUGCUGCUGGAUUGAGAUUGAGAAACCACCGACGAUAAGAUUCCCUCCACUGCUGUUGCUGCACUUGGCGUUGAUGGUCGCAUUCUCUUGAAGUUGUUGUAAUUUGGAUCGCCGUUUGUUGGACAGUCGUAAAUGAAGUGGCCCUCUUUGUUGCAGCGGUGGCAGACGUAGCCGGGAGGAGGGAGAGAGGGGUAAGGUUGCUUUCUCUUUCUCGAGUCCCAUCCUCCGUCGCUGUUGCUGGUGAGUGUAGACGCCAUCGCUUGUGACCAGCUUCCAAAAGCAGGAGUGAUCAUCGUGUUCUUCGGAGGCGCGUCAACAACUUUUGAAGGAACUGCGUAGACAUCCCCACCGAAUUCAUCAUCGUCGUACAGAUAGUCUGUUUCCUCCUCUGUUGCUGCCUUGCUGAUGGUGGAGCUCUGAGAAACAACGGUGCUAGACUUGGUGGCGGUAAUGGAACUUGAAUACGAUUGACCAGCUGCCUUCAAUUGAAUCGGGCUAGUGUCGAGUUGCUGAUAACCGCCGCCUGGGACUCGGCCGCCUGGGACUCGCCGGAGUAAAACGGACGAGUUGCCAAAAAUCUCCUGCUGCUCGUUCUCAUACUCAGUGUUGGUCUGGGAAUCGAUGAUCGAGAGAUCGUAAUCGUUUCCCAAGCACAACCCGUCCUUACGGCGACUGUAAUCGCCGUACUUAGCUUUGAAUUUGGCGUUAAAGAUUCCCUCUUUCAGAUCCUUAACGGUUACGCAACGCCCUGAAAAUUGGAUCUCGGAAAAUUCCUUAGCACUCUGGAACUUAUAGCUCACUAUCACAAUCGCCAUGAUUUUAGGGUUUCUGUUUGUUCUAGAAAAAGAUGCAGAAAAUUGGAUUCAAUUUCGGGACGCGUCGAAUCACGAAAGCAUUAUAUUACGCAAAACAAAACCAGGUAUUCGAAAAUAUUCAGAUUGAUUGAUCAUAAACCCUAAUAAAGUAUACGCAAUCGAAGGCGGGAGCGAGAGAUGAUCAAACUCGGAGCAACAAGCAGAGAGGAUUUCUAUCAAUAUUGAACGUACAAAAGAAAUUACAACCAAUUUAUUGAUUCUUUCUUUUCAAUCAGAUAGAGACAGGCAAUUACAAUUUCAGAUCGCCAACUAUUCUUUUCAAUCCGUCGUCUUCCUUCUGGUGGAAGCUGCUGUCGUCGGCCGGAAAAAGAACAGGGAAGCAAUCGCGAAGAGAUCACCGGAGAGGGGAGAAAGAAUGAAAGAAACCACCGUGAUUUUGAGAGCGUCGGAAGAAUGCUUUUUCUUUUUUAGUCUGAAAGUAAAAGUUAAGAAGCAAUAAAAAGGUGCAGAUCUCGCUGAGACGUUUGGGUAUAUAUAUAAUAUAUUGGGGGAGAAAGGGUGUUGCACGCGCUUGCUUGCGUAAUAACUAAGCCACUCGAUUUACCGCGUUGAACUAGUCAAAGAAUAGGUGUAACGGUUGGAAUCUUGGUUCAAACGGUUAGAAAUUGGUUGAAAAAGGCGAGAAAAUGACGUUAAAAUAGGUGCUACAGAUUUCAAAUUUGAAACUCUACUACAAUCCAAUGGUGAAAAGGUAAAGGAUUUCAUUUUGAGCCUAACUAAAUCCUUUUCUGGUAGAACAUUUCGUUUUUUUUCUUCGAAAUUCCACACAUGUCAUGGAGCAUCGAUUCAGAUGAACAACAUACGCUGUCAAAUAAUGAUUAUGACAAUAAUCCGAACUUUAAAAAAAAAAGAUUGUAACAAUAAUCCUUCUAUAUUCCACUCGAUCCAGCCGAGCUUUGAGGUUGAAGGUGUUUGUAUCAAGGCAUUAUUUAUAUAUAUGUAUCAAAAUAUCGUUAUGAUUGGUUAAGACAUAGUCAAGAACAUAUAAUAUGAAAUUAUAUGCAAGAAUAAAAAUUUGAGCCAACCGAAUUCACAGGAAGCGUAUUCUCAUUUCGGUACUCAAAGGUAACGAAAUUAUUCCUCUCGCAAUGGAAUGGAUUUUUCUUUACUGGAGUAGCGGUACUUUAAACGACAAUAAUCAACAAACACAACAACACGAUAUAGUCACAUGACUCGAGUUCUUUAUCUUCAAAAUAAAUCAAAAAUCACAUGACUCGAGUCCCAAAGCUAGUAAAAAAUUCCAAAUUUUACCCUGUUCAUCCUUCCUUCAUUCCAUCGUUCCCACAAGAUCCCCCACAGAAGAACAGAACAAACUCAUUCGUAUUAAGAAAAACUCAAAAUAGAUGGAACGUACGAUUAUCAAUCGUAACUGAAUCAUCACGUAAAAAGUGUAUGGCAAUCUACAUCUCACUGCCUACUCAGCCAAGUAGCUCACAAUUUUAUUAACCUCGCAAGUAGUGUCACAUAUAAGAAUGACUACAUUGCUGCCAUAACACUAACAAUGAACUCAGAAGCUUGUUACCCAAGUAAAGGACGUGAUGAUCGAUUUAUAUAUACGUACUUUUCCACCUUGACAAAUUUAACCUUUUGGAUUUCUAAAACAAUUUCUGGACAACCUUUUCAAUGCCCAGCUACUCACUAGAAUUAUCUCUUUAUAAAUCUUGCCUAAGCUAACAACAAGUUUAUCGGAAUCAUAUAUAGUUGCGAUGAAGAGUGUUUACGUUGAUGCUGUAUGUUGUUGUACGUAGCACAAAUUCUAGUUUUGGCUCUACUGCUGCUAGCCAACGUACUCUAUAUACAGUGCUCAAGAGAUGGAAUAAACUCGAAAGAGGUCAGUAAGUGGAAGCCCUAGUCAAUAUAGCAGAACUUGCUUGCGAGUGAAGUUACUCUAACAAUGGUAGUGUCAAGGAUUCCGAAGGUAUACGUGUGAAGUUUCAUCGUAAACGUCACGCCAACCCCUACAAGUGAACAAACAGCCGGAAAGCAGUCCCAGACCAUAUCUUGUCACUGAAACGUACAUAACCAGAAGAUAGGCUAUCUGGUGCUAGGGCUACUGGUGAGGCUAGCAGCGGAUGACGUUUGAAAAAAGCAAAGAUCAAGCUACUUACUUUGAAACGACUGAAGAGCGUAAAGUGCAAUCCCGCAUGACAUUUUGUCAAGGAGGCUUAGGGAUCCACAAACAAAUGAGAACCAUUGAACCCACUAGGACACUCUCCAUGCUUAUUGCAGUUUUUUUUUUUAACUAAGAUCUUUAUGCUAGUCAAGAUAAAAGUCUUUCUUGAACAAGACAUGGCUCGUCUAGCUCAGUUGGUAGAGUGCAAGGCUCUAAACCUUGUGGUCGUGGGUUUGAGCCCCACGGUGGACAAUUGACUAGUUUAAUGUUUUUGCUAAGGUCGUCGUAUUCUCUAGGGUUUCUCUCGAUAUAUAUAUAACUCAAAGUUGUUUGCAAGAAUGAUCGAUUGGGAAAAAGGGUUUGAUGGCGAGGUGCCACUCGGUCUUACUAACUCAAUCAAACUAUGAAAGACACUUCAAUGACAAGUAACAAAACGGUUCAAGUAGUUGGAAUUGGGUUGAACUAUGGUAGAAAGGCAUGCAUGGGCAUGGCUAGAUAUCCCCUAGAUGACUUGGUAGACAAAGGUUGCUAGCAAGAUGUAUAUAUGAUCCGUAAACUGAUCAAUUUCAAUUCUUUAUGAGGAAAUUUUAUAAUUAAAUCUACUUUUCACUAUUAAAAUGAUGGUGAAUUCUUUAGCGUACUUAGUAUACAUGUUACACAUGUAUUCUCUAACACAUGCAUAUAUAACAGAACACACAUUUGAAAACGAACAUCAAAACAAACAACAAUGAUUUAAAUUUCUUAAUUAAAUUAAAUUAGUGACCCCCGCUUGUACUUGAAGUUACAAAUUAAUUAAACUUUACAGACAGAGAAUGGCGAUGAUGAUUAGUUACAACUGCAGCUUGAAAAGGUUAAAUUUUCAAUCAAUGGUUAUGUUUUUUCCAGCAGAUAAAAGUUACAGCAAUAAGAACUUUACCGUUACUGAACUAUUGUCAUUUAGUGUAAUAAAUGAUGCUGAUGGGUUAAAAGUUAAAACAGUAAGCUAAAUUUAGGAUGAUUUCAUAUAUAUCGGCUAAUUAUAACAAUGAUGAUGUCGCCCUGAUAACAUAUAACACGAGAAGGGAAAAGACAUGAUAAGGGCAAACACCAUCUCUAAGGUAUAUCAUCAUACAGCUGCCAUUAUAUCGAAUCUGGCGUUAAAAUUAAUGUCGCUAAAUUCGAAUCCUCUGCACAAGGCUUAUCGAAACUGCGAGAGCGGUGUGAGGGGCUUGAAUUUUUCAAAGUUGAAGGUGACAGUUGGUUGUGUGUAGAUCAUAAUUCACAAGGGUUAAAACGAAGAAGAAGGACGAACGAAAACCCUAGCUGGUGAAUCAGCAGGCAUAUAUAUGGAGAAAUCAGGAAAUAGGGGGGUAAAUUAAACAUGCAUAAUCAUGAUCAUCGUUAAAAUUAAUAUUAGUGAUUCAAUUUCCAAUUAAGCUGCAGUACUGUAAUUUAUUAGUACUCCAGUUAGAGUGGAUCUACCAGCUGAAAAUUAAACCAAACCCAGCAAUUAGUUAACGGUAUUUAAAAGAUCGAUCUAGGAAGGAGAUGAUGAUCAUGAUUAAAUGAAACAAAUGAAAAAUAUCACAGUUAUAUAUGCUUAAUUAUUGGCAUCAAACCAUAUGAAUUAUAAGUACUUCCUUAUGGCUUAUACAACAAUCCACGCAUAGGAAAACAACUUAAAGGAAGAAAAUUUUGCAGCAAGGAAAUUAAAAUAGAACAAACCAUAACACACAGAAAGACAAAAUAUGUAAAAGUUUCAGGAAGUAUGAGGGAGGAAGGGGAUGGAUAUAUAUAUAUAAGUAGAUAUGAAGAAGAAGAAGAGGAGAUAAUCGGACCGUGAUGCUUCAAUUCCCCGUAGAAACCUGGAUCGAUAUCGAGCUGACGAUCAGGGGGGAAACACUGAUAUAUUAUACAUAUAUUGCUUCUCCCAUCUGCCCAAACAGUCUUCCAGAAUUACUUGAUGAUGAGAGCAAGUGAGUGUGGGAGGAGGAAGAAUCGUCUGAUACUAGUGGAGUAGACGUUGAAGAUGGGGAAGUACCAGUAAGAAGAGGAAGGGUUCAAAUUCACGGAAGCCAUAUCGAUCGCCUCGAUCGAUCGCCCGGCUAGCUUACUGUGUUGAGAUGGAGCUUUAGUUGAGAGAAAGCUAAGGGGAGUUUUAGGUGGGUGAGGAUAUGAUGAUGAGGGUGGUGGUGGUGGGUUUUGGGUUUGGGUGAGAAUAAUAAUAAUGGGUUUUGGUCCAUUGUAGAGUUUCACAAAGACACUAUCAUUGCUGUUGGCUGCCCUCUCUCCCUCUCAUUUUUUUUUCUAUAUAAAGUAGCCUGUGCUAUGUUACGGAAAAUAUUUUGAUAAAAAUAAAUAUUUAAAGUAUGUUUAAACGGUAAAAAAUAAUAGAAAAAUAGUAUAACGGGCAUGAGAAAUAAUCAAACGAUCAUAAAAGUGUUAUACAUAAGGCAAGAAAUGGGUCGUUUAAAAAUUAAUAAAUCAAUAUUUCAAUUUAAGAGUUGUGUCUUUCAAAAGCCGAAGCUCAAGGAUGGGAAAUAAAAGGGUCUCGAACUCUCCUAAAUCCGCUCUCGUGUAUUCAAAUUAUUAUUUAGUCUUGAAUUAAAAUUUAGAAAACUGAAAAAAAUAAAAUAUUUAUUAUUACUCAUUUUUGUUUGUUCUGACUUAACUUUCACGUAUGUUAUACUUCACCGCCUUUUUGAGGGUGUCUGCUUCUUGGGGUGAAAUCAGUGACCGUGCAACUAAAUAUGUAUGUGGAGUCGCCUUCACCUUCUUCUCUAUGCAUUACGAAUAAAUUCCUCGUCUUUGAAAUUUGCUCGCUGCUUUCAUCCGUAGACAUUACAUAUAGGAAUUAUGAAAACUGUUGCAAGUUGUACUUACAUUCCUACAAUAGUGAAAAAACCACUGAAUUCUGGCAGUUGGACCAACCGCCCCAAAUGACCUAAUUGUUGUCUGAGAUUGAACAUAAAUUUUGCAUUUAGUGAUGUCCCCGUCACAUGAAAUUCGGGUGCCGGCCGUAGGACCGACGAUGUCAUCACAGGGCCGCCAGACCGAAAUGAUUGCGCAUUCUGAGUUUCGAACCCAAAAUUUCUGGAAACAAAGUCAGGUAUACUACUACAACCACGCACUCGACUACAACCUAUUUGACACUUUUACACCGGAUGAUCAUCAACGGUGGCCUAGGUUCGCCUAAAUCCCAGUUGCCGAGAAUCUCUAGGAUCAAAAUAACUCCAAGCAUAAAAGUUAAAAGACCUUUCUGCAUUAUGCAGCUGCUACGUACGUACGUUUGUAUCUCUCUGUGUUGGUUGAUUUCAUGCAUUGAUGAAUAACAUUAUUGAUUUGUAUAAAUUGUGCUUUGUUAUUUCACAGAAACGGCACUACGAGGACAAUAGAAACCAGCGCUACCGUGCGGUAUAUAUACAUGUAACAUAACAUGUAUCCGCUUUAUGAAUCCCAGUCAGAAAGUACAGUGGACCCAAACUCAUCAUAACCAAACCGAGGGCUGGUUUGGUUGGUACCCGAGAAAUAUUUGCUGAGUUUGUCGAUGAGAACUCUUGUAUUCCUAGUUUUUUUUUAUUCAAAUUCGGUUAUGGAGGCUGAUGAAUUGAACAUUAAUGGGUGACCGAACUAAACUAGGAAGUUACAGAGAUCCAACUUUUUGAACUGUUUGGUCAACAUCUUGAUCAUUUAAGUUUUAUCGAUUUCAGUAAAGAAUUAAAUUUAAUAUGAGCUUGAUUAUAACUUGUUUCUUUAUAAAAAAAAACUCGUUUCUAAUCAUCGUAAUAUAUACGAUCUCUCACUUGGUAGAGCCUUCAGGUGUACUCUUUUUGCAAAGGGAAAACGUGUUAAGUAAAUUUGUGCGUUAUAUAUUUGUAUUUUCCUUCGUGAUUGUGUUUUGUUUAUUCACACUGUAGGUUCUGCUAUCUUUUACUACACAGUAUUUUCUUUACUUACAACUUAGUACCUAAAGAAGAUAAUUUAACAUUUUCCAACUUGUAACAAACACUUUUCCAAACGACAUAUCCACUAAUUUUCAAUCCCAUCAAAACGGUCCCAAAUGAAGCCGGCCUUGAUGAAUGAUGAUGAUCAAUCUCUUUCUUCAACGGCACAUCAAACUGUCGAGGACAGCAAUUGGUAUCUAGCUCUGAUAUGGCUACUACCUAGCUAGCUAGUGAUAACAUGGUGAUGAUUGAAUGACAACAUUCAAUAAAGUUGAAGAAGUUCUUGAGACAAAUUAAAAUUUGACCUUGGUGAUUAACAGUUGGGAAAGAUGAGUCAAUCAUGGUAAUCAUGACCAGAUACAUAGUCAACGUUUUGAUUAUGAGAUUAACGACCAGCUUUGUGAUGAUGCUUGACAAAAUAACCCUACCGGCCCCUAUGGAUACCAAACGGGACAACACUUUUAUAGAGCUUGCUUUACUUUUUUUUCGGUGGAAGAAUUCAUGCAUAGGCGCAUAGCUAACUGGGUUAGAUUUAGCGCGGUUCACGAAUUGAGUUUAGUUAAAUUUUAUUGUGUGCAAACUUGGAUUUUUACGUUUUAGAUGGGUUUGAUUUAGAAAAUUUUAGCUAGUGUCGGACUUGAGUUUAUUUGAGGCUGACUUGUUAACUAGUAUUGAUGAGCUUGAAACCCACUUACUAGUCCAUUUUGAGAUGAAUUUGAAGUUCGUACACUAAAAAACAUCAAUAAGUCAAGUUAAAAAAACAAACUCUCCUAAUUUUUUUUUUAGUUGUUAAAAACCUCAUUAAACAAUGGAUCAAUUGUAUUUUCAUAAUCACAAUCACAAAUUACAUAUGAUUUAUUGUAUAUGUUGCAUUAUUCAGUUUACUAACGAGAGACAUAUACUCGAGCUAAUAUUUGAGUUGGCUGAAACCAGCUCGUUCGCGAGCCUAUCGAGCGAGCAAACCCGGGCUUAAGCUCGACUCAUUUAAAAUCAAACCGAGUCAUAAACAAGCAUUUUCCAAGCAACAUGCGAGUGGCUUGGCUUGUCAACUGCCCUACUAUUAAGAUUAUGGCCCAUGGAGAGUCCUCGUGAUCACUUUAGAUUCAAGAUGAGCUCAUCACUCUCUCAUGACUGACUGAGAGCUAGCAUUGGAUCCUUGGAUAUGUCCAAUCUUAUCCAUAUAUGUACAUACAUCUUCCACUGUCCAAUAUAUUCCUUUGGUCGAUCUCUAGCUCACAUCUAGCUAGUACGUCAAUCAUGAACCAAAAAUUCAAUGACUGAACCUUGAAUUGGCAAACGAAGAGACGUUUUUCACUACACUUCCCUAAAGCUUUCAUCUCAAGGCCCUUGACGAACAACAGAGACUAGACGACCAAUGAAAUCGCAGCACUAAGUGCUAUCUGCAGAUUGGUGAAUUGGGUGGUCAUUACUUUUUGCUUUAUGGAAAAAGAUUAGUGGAUGAAUCUACAGUAGAGGGAGCAAAAGUAAAAGCAAAGCAAAGCAAAGGGCCGAUCGAUCAGGAUUCAGGGGUGCGUGUGUGUUGGUGUUGUGGGUGCAUGAAAAAAGUUCGAAGAGUGUGUAUGUACAAAAGGGAUAUGCAUGCUUAAUUCUCAACUUUAUCAAACACUAGUAUAAAGUUAUGCUUUUCUCACCCACAAACGUAAACUUUUUUCCUCCGGUAGAUAGAAUUCGUUCGGUCCCAGGAAACAGAGGAUCACUAGUGUGUUCUUACAUUUAUGGAUGUGUUUAUGUUUGUGAUUAUAUCAUGCUUGCAUGUAUAAACCUGCAAAUACGUAUUUUAUCCCGUUAAUCAAAUACCCAUUAGAUUGCUUUAAUGAAAUUGUAUUUUUCUAGGGUCUUUCUAACGUUAUUACUCAACUUGAUUAUGCUAACUAAACCAACUAACAAUGAUUGAUUGGUUGUUUGAUUGUUAGUGUAUCAAACUAUCAACUAAUGACUGAAAUAAAACAAAUCAAAAUGCAAGAAAUCGAGUUUCAAAGAUAGGAUGAAAGGGUGUUCGGACUCGAAUCCACUAAAGCUAGCAAUGCAUGGAUGAACGACAAGUUAUCUCAAUUAUUCAGGUUAUAAUGGCUUGACAAUUUCGUAUGGUGGUCUUAGAUCACUCUCGCGCCUCUAAGGAUCUAUUUCGCUUAACUGUAGACUCCUCUCUCGAGCUAAUCUACACCUAAACAAAACACACUAAAGGUGUUCAAUGAAAUGUCACGACGAUAAACAGUGAAAAAAGAUUAAACGACUCGUUCCUCUCUCGAGCUAACGAAUAAUCUAGGGUUCUUCAUAAGCGACCUAUCAAUCUAUUUUCCUCACGAACCCGCACAUCACUGCCGACUAUUCAAUCAAGAAGACCAGACGAAAUUGAAUCAGAAUUUAGGUUUUAGGAAGAACGCAUCAUAAGUCUGAAUAACCUCGAUAACAAAUCAAGCGAUUAAAACCCCAUCAUCCAUACAAAAACUUGACUAAAGCUUCUUCUCAUCCGAACAACAUGAAAGGUUUAGCUACUCAUGGUUCCGGAAAAUAAAUCACAAGAGAAGAGAAGAAAAACCAGAGAAGACGACAUGUUCUUCAUGGAAAUCCCAAUCUUCGACUUGAUGAUUUGCCCUUCACCAGUCGUGGUUGAUCCUCUCGCUUCAAUCGUCUUUCUGGAACUCUAUCUCUCUCAAAGAGUUCGAAAAUAUGUGUAUAAUGAAGUAUAUCUCGUCCACAGGGGGUCUCGGGGGUAUUUAUAGACUUCUGGGCCAAGUUGGAGAAGGAAAAGGACUUGAAAACCCGUUUGGGGUGGGACAUGCCGUGUUCCCGUCCGUGUUCCGCCCCUGUAAAUUUCUCAGGUAAUUCCAGAGGAGGGACACGCCGUAUUCCUUAAUUUUACGGAAUUUGACCAUAGCGUCAAUAUAAAAGUUGUAGACAAUCGAAUUAUAUUUCCAAUGCCGAUGACCUUGUAUCAAUUGGACUUCCGAGCGAUGAGUUAUACUCAAAAUACUAUACAGUGACACUUUCUUCCCAAGUCGAACGUUUUGUGUUGUUUCGGACUCCCCGUCAUGGCUUGGUUCAUCUCUAAACGUCAUAUGACACUUGAAAUGUACCAAAAACAUACCAAACACCAUAACAUGUACUCAAUAUCCUGAAUUUGAAUACAUUUCGACACACAAAAAUAUAGUUUAUAAUGAGAAAAAGUGUGUCGAAAAUACAACGCAUCAAAGUUUGAAAUGUGAGAUUAGUUACACUGGAUAUCGAGUACUGUGUCAAGAAUCAGUUAAUAUUAUUCUGAAACAACAACGAGUUUAGCAACAACUGUCAAUCCCUUUCGGUCGGGAUAGUUUGUAGAUAAUUUUUAUUUUUUGUGUGAACUCUGAUAUCCGACCCACUGGCCGACUAAUCUAGUUGAGGAUGGUUCCAGGGAAAAGGUUAUACUUCUCUCCCAACGUUGUUGAGAAAAAUCAAACUUUGGUUCACUUUUUCAAGUACAGCCCCUGACACCACUGCACUAAUACCUCGUUGUUCGUAGAUAAUGAAAUCGUUUUGUUGGUUUAAACGUCGUGGGCUGCUGGCUUUGAUUCCAUUUCCUGGAGCAGCAACUCCCUCCCAUCCCAUGAAAGAAAUGUUUUCUCCCGAUUGAAAUUUGUCGAUACCGAACUAUCAAAGAGUGUUAUGUUCCGUCUUGUGUAUCCACGUAGAAAUUACUAAAUUACUUUGUCAAAUGUUGACCUUUUUGUAUAUAUAAUUUUACUUUGUUUGGACAGUCAACGUGAGCAUUGCUCUAGUUAGGAGGAGUUUGUGGUGGGUUGGGGCCAAAGUUGAUGAAUUUGCGAGUGGGUAAAAGUUGAGUUGGUGGAAAGAGGUGAAUAAUAUAAACCUUAACCACAGGUGAGUUAAAACUCAAAAUCGACAUGGUUUUACAUUUUUGGCCUUUUCUGUCUGCUUCUACCUUUGCGGCAAUGCUUUAAAAGCCUUCUUUUGUCAUAUUAAAAAGACAUGGGCGUUUUUGUAAUCUACUAUAGAAUAUUGAUGAAGCCCACAAUGAAACUGUCUGGCCUUUGUGGGAUCGAUUGUAUUAGUAUAGCUUUAGAAUGGGCUUUAUGAAAAAGACUUGUAAAGCCUACAUGUUUUUCUAAUUAUGGAUCUAUUUCUUUGCUAAAGAUCCGGGUCAUCCAAUCAUUCGUUAAUAAAUAAAGAUAACGAGAAUUAUCAAUAACACUUUCAAAAAUUAAGUAAAAGUUUGAUAUGUGAGAACGUCGUUUUAUUGAGUAUGACACCACCAUCAACCAACCGUGUUGCUACGCUCUGAUACUAAUUAUUAUAAUACUCUGGAUAAAACUCAUUCUCAAAAGCUAGAUUGAGAAACGGAGCAGACCCAUAAUAUUGACAACUACGAACGGUGUAACAUUGGCACGUUACAUUGCAUGUAAUUAAGUUUGAUUUUUUUGUUGUGAGGUUGAAAUUGUAUCUUUUUUUACCUUCGAAUGACAGGCAUUGUUGAUAAGAAAAGUUGGAAUCCGUAGGACAGUUGUACAUUUGUCUAAAAAUGGAAGCAAAAUGAAAGGUCGGGGAAUAAAAAUAAACAAAAUGAGAAGGAUAAUACGUGAGCGGCAGGAUUCGAACCUGCGCGGGCAAAGCCCACAUGAUUUCUAGUCAUGCCCGAUAACCACUCCGGCACGCUCACUUCCUGCCUGUCAGUCCACGUUUUAGGUAACCAUUGGUUUGUUGUUCCGCUUUAUAGCUCAACAACAUUAGUCUGAAAACAUACAAAUAAAAACACAAAAUGGUAGCUAACAAAUGUAAGCAGGCUUUGCUUAAUUUUUCAUCCAAUUUAUAAAGUCCUUAAUAACCAGAAAACGAGAUUACGGUAAGAUAGCAUAAGUAGUUUACGUAAUGGUGAAGACUAACUAGGAUUAAACUUUCAGGCAAAUAAGGCCAAUAAGCAUAUUUUUGACAAGCGAUAUAUUAUUAUAAAUCAAUAUUGAAACAAGACAUGUGUCGAUUCGAACAUCAAUAAAGAGAUAUAGAAAUAUAAAAUUUAGCAAAUUUUGAUUUAACGUGAAAUAAAUUUGGUUAAUAUCUAAUGAGUGCAGAAAAAUAAUAAUUAGUAUGAUUUUGGAUUAAGGUGGCCAUCAGAAGAUUCACUAUUCUUAUUCUCUUCAUUAUUUUAAAACAAACUGAUUAAGUUCCUUGUCCAAUGGUGAAGACUAACGACAUUUAAACAAACUGAUUAAGUUUUUUUUAUCAUUCAUUUUUUAAUAUAUAUAUUAUUAUUGAUUCAUAUCAUUUUAUUAUAAAACUUAACAAAUCUCGCUCCUUCCGGCCACAACUCUUGAUUUCACAAAAAAGCGACAAAUCAUCAUAAACCAAUAUCUCUACAAAACAUGGUAUUUUCCAGUGUAUCCCAAAUUUUAAAGUCUAUUUGUACGUACCUCUGAUCCACGAUAGCAACAAUCUAUACAUCAUCUGUUGAAUACAAAAUACAAACACUUGAUAGUAAGUGCAUCAUCUCCAUAGGUUUUGACAAAAUACAUGCCUAAUCAAUUUGACAACGUAAGAUUACCAAGCGGGGUUUGACAAUUGGUUCAAAAUCACUGACGUAUGAGCUGAUCUCAGAACAAGCUAGCUAGCAUCCAAAAAUCAACAUGAUCUGAUGGUUCAACUAACCAGAAAAAUUUGCAUUGGUUGAUUUUGGAAAAAAAAAACGACAGCUACCCAAUUCUUUCAACUUGGCCUUAGCUUCCCUCCAGCCUGCAGGUUGUUAGUUUAUGAGAUUGGACUGACUGAUGUAACUUAAUCAAACCUUUAUUGUCUAUCAGUUUGAUUAAGAUUAAUACGGUAGCUUAUUCAUAGUUAAUUUAUUUUUUAUUAUAAUAUGUGACCGUGUAACAUAGUAUGGUCGAUAUUCCUAACUUCAUAAUGCUCCUCCUAGACUCAACGUGGAACUUAUGUUACAAUAGCAAGGAGUUGAAAAGGCCACUUGCUAGAACAAUAGAUCAUGUGCACAUUAAUUCAACUGAGUCCCAGUAGUACUGUCCUUGGACCAGGACUUGGAAAUGUGAUAGUUUACCUUCCAGAAUUGUCACUAGUCACCACAAAUCUCUUUCUUUCAUCUCUACCUUGCACUUCUGGUAGCUAGCUAUCAUGUCACGAGUCAUUUACAUUUAUUAAUACAAACACCAACCUGAUCCAAGAUGAUUUGAGGCGCUAGAUUCAAUUUGCAUUUGAAAGCCUAUACUCGAGAUGCUAGCAUGGCAGAUGUGAAAUAAGGAGAUUGAGUAUGAAAACAUUUUGAGAAUAUCAAAAAAUACAUAAAAUAUUUUGGACAAUAAUUUGAAUUGACACCCCUAAUUCUUCCAUUCGUAUUUAAUAUAUGAAGGAUCAAGAUGUGUACUCUUUAUCAUUUGGAUCACUAAAUCACAAAAAUUUCAUAUUAACAAUGUUGUUUUAAUAAAUCUUGGAAAAGAUAAGGCUUUCCUUGCUUUUAUGAGUAGCUAAUCGGAUCGCUCCGACCCGACCCACCUUAGCUAAGUAGUCGGAACUUCAAUCCUCCAAACUCUAAUUUCGCCGUCCAACCCGCCGGAGUAAACCACAUACUUAUCACAACCUCCAUCAUCAUCAUCAUCAUCAUCAUCAUUAUCAUCUCUCUUCCGAUCAAUGGCCAAGCACUUGACCGGCUUCUGAUGCCCUUCAAGAACCGCCACACACCAAUAAUCCUUCUCACACCAAUACUCCUUCUUCCCCAACCCCCCAACCGUCCUCCGCCGCCAAACCCUUACCGUAUUAUCUGCCGACCCACUACACACCAUAUCCUCCCCCACCGCCGCCAGGCACAAAAUCGACCUUUUAUGUCCCCUCAACGCCCCCACCACCGUCAUAACAACAUCCCCCUCCUCCUCCUCCCCGUCGCCGGCAAAUCCACUCUUCUCCCAAACAAUAAUCGACCGAUCACAAGCGCCGGAGUACAGCACCCUCCCGUCGCCACUCACCGCCAGCGCAUUCACCGCCGACUUGUGCUUCUCCAACGUCGCGACGUGGCAAUGCACGAUCUUAUUCUUCUCCGAAUCGUUCUCUCUCCUUCUCCACACCUUGAUCGUCUUGUCGGCGGAUCCGGUGUAGACGUAUCCAUCAACUAUGGAGACGACCAGCGCGUUGAUCGCGUCAUUAUGUGCUUUGGCGACGGAUUCCAAACAUCUGAAGUCGGAGAUUCUCCACACUUUGAAUGAACGGUCCCAGGAGGCAGAGUAAACCAGGGGAAACGCAACAGCGAGUACCGAAACGGCGUCGUUGUGGUGGACCCACGUGGACUUCUUGUGACGGCGAACUUCCACGUAGUUCUUCGCAGAGAAGCAGCGGCGGAUCCUGUCGUUGAAAGUCGGGAGGGUCGCCACGGCGCCGUAUUGAUGACGUGCGCUCUCUGUUUUUUCACUACGAGCUGACUCUGCUUUUUUCGUUUUCCGCCACACUCGGAUUUUACGGUCCUGGUGUCCACUGAAUAUUAAAUCUUCAUAGACCGCCAAGCAUUUAACCGCGCCGCUGAUCUUGGCCACGGUGGUGGAGGAGGCGGAAGAAUCGGAGGGAUAGGGAAUUGGAUUCCAGGCGAGGAUUUCGCUGUCGCCGGAGAAGAGGGUGUCGAGAGAGAGGGCGAGGGAGGAUAUAGAGGUGGAAUGGGAGUGGAGGGUGGCGAUGCAGCGGUGGCGGACGGCGGAGGAGGAGGAGGUGGAUGUGGAGAGGGAAGGAACGGAAGGGAGGCUGAGUUGGGUUGAAAGGGAAGAGGAGGAGGAUUCAGAGUGGAGGGAUUUGGAAUUGGAAUUGGAAUCUUGUUGAUCUGUUGGUUCGAUGGAGGGUAAUGGCGGCCGGCAGGGAAUCAGUCCCAUGCUUUUUUAUUUUCAGAGCGGCUGGUGAACACUGAACAAGUGGAGGGCUGUUUGGUGAUGUAGGUUUUAAAAGAGAUUGAAUGAUUUUUAUAUUGGGGGAUGAUGGUUGAAUGAAGUUUUUCCACGUAUGAUGUUGAGGGAAUAGUUAUGUUUUGUAAAUGGUCUGGUGAUCAAAUCAUGAUAAAAUUAUUUGGAACAACUACCGCUAUGAAUGGAGGUGUAAAUGUUCAACAAGACAUCUUUGUGUCUAGUCGUGCUUCAAAGGUCUAAAAUUAAUACAGUUAACUGAAGCCAAUCUCCUCUUUAGUGAAUCAACGACCACUGACAUCUGGAAAACAUGCUGAUUGAUUUAUCACUCGGUAGAAGGAUAAUGAACAUUCUUAGAAUUUUUUACUUUUUGACUGUAUUGAUAACAUAAUCUUAUUACUCUUAUCAAUUAAUCUUAACUAAGAUUUGUAUUAGCAUCAUGAUUACGACACAUGGCCCACAUAUUUACCAUGAGGAAUUGAGAUAAAACUAGAUGUUUCCUUUUCGACUAUACUCGGACUAGAAAAGAAAGCAGCUUCUAACCUUUCAUGAACUCUUCAUCCACUGUUAAAAAGGAUAAUAAUGGAUUGAUUUCAAAUCACUCUAAUUUAACAUAUCUAGAGCUUCAUGAACUCAGUAAGUAGUCCUAGCCUUCCACCCUUUGACUCUCUGUAGCUACGUGCAUGUGUAAGAACUAAGAAGAUCAAUGAGCUAAUAUGCAUUGGUCCACCAAACCUAUAGCAUAGUUUACACGAGUCAUGUUUCAUUGCUUUACAUUAGCCAGCACAACAUCCAAAGUGGAGACGAUGAUUGUGGAACCUUUUUAGAUUAAAUGGAGUUCCCAUUUCUGAAAUUUAUAUAUAGAUGUUGGUUUGGAAUUUGGAUAGACUGAUUCAUAAACAACGACUUAUUAUCAGCUUAUAAUAGUUGGUAUUUUGAAGAUAGAUGAGUGUACCUAAUGUAGGGAGAAGAGGCAAUUGGAUUGAAGAUUGCAGGCUACCCAUCAGGCCAUCACCAAACAAUUUGUUUAUGUUAUCUUUGAAUCAGUCCCAACAUCACUAAAAUAAGCUAAUAUGACCAAUCAUGCAAUUCUAUAAUCUCUAGUACUGUAAUAUUACUUUACGCAUAUGAAUAUGAUAAGAAAUUGGAUUAAAUAGGCAAGAGUAUGUCACAGGAAGCGGCUUGCAGGAUUGACAUGGGCUUCAAUCUCUUGAUCUGGGCUAUGGGCCUGGAGCAAGUAGAACUGGGCCAGGCUUUCAGGUAGAAAUACAGCCCCAACAUUGAUGUCACAUUUUAGAGGACCUAGUAAUCAUGUGAUAGACUAAAUCAUAAUUUAAUAACACUAUUCAGUCUAUUCUCAUAUAUAAAUAGAAAACAAUUUUAAUAAUUUACAUCAAAUUCCAAGAAGGAAUAAAUAAUUAAUAACGACAAUAAUGAAAUACAAAAGUGCCUACUGCGUUACACCAAUUAUGAAUUAAUUAACAGGGGAGGCAAAAUGAGAAGCCGUCGCACAAGAAUAAUCGGACGGAUUUAACAAUGUUACAAUACGGACAACAAUGCCAAUCCAACGGUCAUUAUCAAACCGAGGCCCCACCUCCUCAAGACUACCGCAUGGCCGGCUCCACUAGAUUCUCUCUCCUGCAUCGGCGGCAAUCCGGUUGACCCGUUGAAGUUUGGGUUACUGCCGUACAGCUGCUGCACGCCGUCGAUAUCGUCCUGCGCCAGCUCAACUUUUCUGGUCCGUGAAGAAAUCGUCGGGAACAUUAUCGCAUCGGGCUCCGACGAGUGACCCAGUCCCAACAAAUGCCCGAUCUCGUGAACCGCAACCGACUCGAGAUCCACCGCCGAGGACAGCGCAGAGUCGGCGCUCAACCGACAGAGCAGAGUCGGCGCUCAACCCGCUGACCACCCAGUCCUCGUCGCCGUCGAGGUGGAGCCGCCCGCUCGGAGGGGAGAACGCGUGGGCGAGGGUUCCCAACACGCCGUCGAACGGCUCCCCGUCGCCGUGGUCGCCGCUCAGGAAUCCGACCCGGAUGUCGGCGGUAGGAUAAUUGUCCGUCUCCGUGAAAGUCAACGACGCCACCUCCGACCACCGGUCCAAAGCGGGGGGGGCCACACCCCUUAACUGCCCGCCGCAGAGGAGUNNNNNNNNNNNNNNNNNNNNNNNNNNNNNNNNNNNNNNNNNNGCGUAGGUGGUACCCCGAUGGCUCGCCAGCCACCGCGGCUCCCCGGGGAAGAACGUGUACUUCCCGACAGUGUGGAAGUGCGUCGCCGUCGUGCCGUUCGAUUCCGAAUCAGGCUUCCCGGAGUUCAUUGCCGUCGACCCGUUGAUUAUGUCGGCGUUGCCGCAUCUGGGCUGGGUGAUCUGGCGGAUGGUUUUGUCGUCCAGCUCGCCGGUGACGUUGAGGUUGAAGUUCUUCUGGUAAGUCUUGACGGCGGAUUCGAGGGACCCGUCGCACCGAUCGGUGCAGUUUUCCGUUGAAUNNNNNNNNNNNNNNNNNNNNNNNNNNNNNNNNNNNNNNNNNNNNNNNNNNNNNNNNNNNNNNNNNNNNNNNNNNNNNNNNNNNNNNNUGGCAGCCGGUAAGCUUGUUGAAGGAGUCCCAUGCGGAGGUGAGAUUCGGCUUGUUGGAGAAUCCAGGUGGGAUGGAAGUAAUGUUGGGGAAGAAUCUGGCGGAGAUGGGUAAGAUUAGUAGAGAUGCAAUGGCGAUGAUGAAUUGGAAUCUGAACUUCAUCGUUGCUGCUCUGUAAUUUGAUUUCUCUUCACAGGACAGAAUGAAAUUUGGCCAAUUGGGGAAUUUGUUUUCAAUGGUUUUAACUCACUUUUAAAGAGGGGUAAUGGGGAGGAAAGUGUCUGCGUUUGAGCCUCUGAGGAUUGUCGCUUUAGUCAAUAGUUUGGCGUCUUGAAAUUUCUUGGGUUUUUUAUUCUUAAUGUUCUUAAUUAUGGGUUGAAAAUUUUGAAUAUUUCAAUGAGGGGGGAGUCAUUGGUCCAAAGGAAUGAUCACUACCCAAAAACGGUUCGAUGUGAGUAGUUUGGUUUUCGAAAAGAGUAGCCUUUUACUACAGAGAAAUUAUGCUAACGAGUUACUUGAUACUCAGUAAAUGUUGGUCUUAAUUUAGGAAAGGAUUUCGAGUGAGGAUCAUUGUUAGUAAAUCGUAUGAUGGCCAAUUAUCUCGUGCAGCUGCUUGAUUUCAAUGAAAAUUGCUUACUAUUAAUCAUCUUAGUUAUAUAAAGUUUAGUAAAUAUUAAUGUCUAUCGUGUUUAAUUUUCACUUAAAAUAUUUUACCAGAUUCAUACUAUGCAACCAUUUUUUUAUGUGUUAUAUCUUCCUUUUUUAAUCGAAAUUAGCCAUAUUGAUGGAUAUAGAAGAAUCUUUUAAUACGAUGCAAUAACUUCGCUAUUUGAUGAAAAUAAAUGUACUGACUUGUCAAAAGUACAAAAAUGAAAAUAAAAUAUGUAUUGGUGACCAAUAUACAAUCUUUUUGAUAAAGUAUUAUUCUGGUGGGAGAGGAAACAACGAUGUGGCCUUCUCCCUUUGCAAGAGUGUUGGCUUUGUUGACUUUGAUGCAGGGGAGGGGAAGCAGAGGUCAAAGAUGGUUGGUCCAACAAAUUAAACUUUGGUUAUCUUUUUCAUUCAUUUAAAUAACAUUGAUUAUUAGCAAGAUGGCUGCUUAAUGGUGCAAAAUAAUUAGGUGCCAAGUCGUGGAGAGGAUUGACCCAAAACAAAGAAGCUCAAUUUGUCAAAACUCGAACUUUCUAGAAUGGAUUUUAGUUGCUAGUCACCCUAAUUAUCUGAAGUGUCAAAGUAUGUCAGCAUCAUUAUUCAGUGAUUAUUGUUGAUGACGAUCGAAUAAUUUGGAAAAAUAGUGAUGGCCAUUUUGCGAUCUCUUUGAUUUAGAGGUAGCAAAAUAACAACAGGAAGAACAAUUGGUUGCAGUUGUGGGCAUGCAUGAAGCCAUCUCCUAUCACACGGCCUUACUUGAACGUGAUUUGUUCUAUAGGAUCGUAUUUCUGUGUCCUUUAGUAUUAAGAAGACAAACUCAAGUCUGAUAAGUAUACAUGGUUGCUUUUUUUAUUAUUAUGAUUGUAGAUGAUCGUUUUUGUUUGCUCCGACAAUUUGGAUGAGAUUUUGUGAUUUUUUAACGGAUUUUAAUUCCUUUUUUAUUCUUGUUGAGUAGUGUAGUUUGUUGCGUAUUGUAUGUUUGGAGACCUAGAUUAAUCAUUAUUCAUUCUAGGAACUAAUCAAUGUAUGGAGUAGCUCUUUUCAAUCUUGAUAUAUACAUGGCAACUGAGGAUUUGGGAAAACAACAAGAUGGAAAAUGUUGUGUAAACGUGCAGUGCAGUGGUUAUCUA